CUUGUCAUUACAUUACCUAGCCCAUUGGUAACACUGUCACAUGAUUAGUGAAAAAGAGGAAGAAAGAAAAAAGCAGGAAAGAGGAUAAGGCAUAGAGUGAAGCAGAAAGAGGGAAAGAGAAAAGAUGGAGAGAGAAGCAUCCAAAUUAUGUAGUAGGGGGAACCUAAUAUUUAUUAUGUGGUUAAAAAUGUUAGUUGAAGAUAGUGAUAUAGAGGAGAGUUAGGAAUAUAAUUUUAGCAGAGGGGUGAUGUUCUGAUGGUGUGAUUAAAGAGAGGCAGGGAGAGAGAGAGGUGGUGGUGGUGGUGGUGGUGGCAGCGAUGAUGGUGAGUGCAUAGUGAAAAGUAAUUUAUUCUUUAAUUGAAGUUUUUUAUAUCAUUUAAUCCAUGCACAUCCCAAACUUGUCAUUCACUUUAAAAAGAAACCAGUUUCCUGUUCGCCUGUCAUAAGCAAUGACUAUCAAUAAAUCACAAGGGCAGACAUUUGAUAAGUGGAGCUGUUCUUGCCUGAACCUGUAUUUGGCCAUGAUCAGCUAUAUGUUGCAUUCUCAAAGGCUCGCAAAUUAUCUGAUGUGAGAGUUAAAAUUAUCAACACUGACAAACAAGGGAAAAGAAAAGGGAGAACUUACACAAAGAAUAUCUUCUGCAAAGAAAUAUUGGAUUGAAAGGUGUAUGCAUAUUGAAAUGUGUAUUGGCUCUGACCCAUCGCCUUGGCUUAUUAGUUACAAUGAUGUGGUUUUCAGAGUAUGCCAUGUUGCAUGAAAUUUUUACCCCCAUGAAAUUGUAACCUCUAAAUUUUACAUAUAAAAUUAUUUUUUUUUUACUAUAAAACUUUUAUUGUGUCUGGGGAGAGUCAUUUUCUUUUUGUGCCUUAUUAUGUAACACACUCACCGGUAAAAUUUCCACGUUUUUCUUAUUUUUAUUUUCCUAAAAUUUUCGUUGAGUCUUGCAACCUUUUCAAUAGUCUUGACUCUGUCCGUUAUUUACACUGUGUUCCCUUUUGUUUGUUUGUGCGCAUGUGUGUGGGUGCCUAUACAUGCAUGCUUGUACGUAUGUAUGUGUGUGUUUGCAUGUGUAUGUAUGUAUAUAUGUGUGUGUGUGCAUCUGUAUGUACGUAUCCUGCAUAUUUAUAUGCUUGCAUGUCCGUGUUUGUGUAUUUUCUUUGUAUGUGUGUGUGAGCAUGUGUUUGUAUAUGUAUGCACCUCUGUUUCCUUGUGUGUGCAUGUCUGUGUGUUAUGCAACUAUGUACCAUGUUUGUAUGUAUGGAUGUUCAUCUUUAUAUGUGUGGAUCCGUGUCUCCAUAUGUAUCUGUUCAUAUAGUCUAUAUACCUAUCCAUCUGUAUAUUGAUCUGUUUACUUACAUAUCUAUAUGCUUACAUACAGAAAAAACAAAAAAUGCAUACACACACACCCACAUACAUACAUACAUUUAUCUACUUAACAGUCCACUAACUAUUCUACUCUACCUGUGUAAACUGUAGGUAUGGAGGUAUGAUAUCAACUAUGUAUAUUUCCUAUUUAAUAUUGGGGAGGUUUCAUUUAUAAGGACGUACUCCCGUAUUUGUGAGUGUUGGGUCUUUUGGGUACUUGGAUAAGAUGCGGAUGUCAAGUUGCCCCAAGUUACCUCCAUGGUGGCCUUUGGCAUGUUGGUAUGGAGGACUGUUUUCUGUCGUCAUAUUGUCUUAGCUGUUCCUUUAUCCAUUCUGCAAUGCUCCUAUAAAAAUUUUGGUUCCUAGAUAUGAAAUUGUGACCAUGUAAAUUUUAAAAUAAUUUUUUCUGUUUAUGGGAAAAAAUGGAAAAAUAUGAGUGAACACUUAUUUUAUAAUUGCUGUGUAUUAAGUCUAUAAAAUUGUGCAUAAAGUAUAUAAAGUGCAUUAAGUAAUCAUCGUAUUCCAGUUUCCUUCACUUUUCAAUGAAUGGCGCAGAUGAGCGACUAUCUUUUGAUACAGACACAACACAGGCUACAUUUUCAGGUUUUUUGGAUAAAAUUUUCAGGAAAAACCCAAUAGGUUUACUAUUAAUUGCGUGAAAUAUUCAUGGGUCCUGCUAGUUAUUAUUAAGGUGGUGAGCUGUUGGCAGAACUGUUAACUUGCUAGGCAAAAUGCUUUGCAGCAUUUCAUCCGUCUUCAUAUUCUGCUGAGGUUCACUUUGCUUUUCAUCCUUUUGGGGGUCAAUAAAAUAAGCACCAGUGAAGUACUGGGGUUGAUAUCAUUGACUUCCCUCUUCCCUCCACAAGUGCCCACCUUGUGCCAAAAUUUGAAACCAUUAUUAUAUUAUUAUCCAUCCUUUUGGAGUCUAUAAAAUAGGUACCAGUUGAGAACUAGGGUUAAUAUAAUCAACUAACUACGCUCCAACAAAAUUUCAGAUUUUGUAUCUAUUGUAGAAAAGGAUUAUUACACACACACACACACACACACACACACACACACAUGUGUUCUUUGUUUUGUCCUGUAUUGUCCAUAAUGUCUUUCUUAAUGUAAACCCUUUGUGGUUAAUAAAGAAAUCGUUAUUAUUAAGGUAGUGAGCUGGCAGAAUUGUUAGCAUGCCAGGUGAAAUGCUUAGUGGUAUUUCGUCUGAGUUCGAAUUCUGCUGAGGUCAAUUUUGCCUUUCAUCCUUUCAGGGUUGAUUGAAUAAGUACCAGUUACAUGCUCGAGUUGAUGUAUUUGACUUAAUCCUUUCUCCCAAAUUUGAGGCAUUAUGCAUCCAGUAGAAGGGAUUAUUAAGGUGGCAGGCUGGCAGAAUUGUUAGCACACCAGGUGAAAUGCUUAGUGGUAUUUCGUCUGCUGUUACAUUCUGAGUUCAAAUUCCACCAAGGUUGACUUUGCCUUUCAUCCUUUUGGGGCCAAUUAAAUAAGUACCAGUUAUGCACUGGGGUCGAUAUAAUCGACUUAAUCCAUUUGUCUGUCCUUGUUUAUCCCCUCUGUGUUUAGCAUCUUGUGGGUAUUUCAUCUGCCGCUGCGUUUGGAGUUCAAAUUCCACCAGGUUGACUUUUCCCUUCAUCCUUUCAGGUUCGAAAAAUUAAGUACCAGUUAUGCACUGGGGUUGAUGUAAUUGACUAGUCCCCUUUUCCCAAAUUUCAGGCCUUGUGCCUAUAGUAGAAAGGAUUAUCAUUAUUUAUGCUAGUAUAGAAAUUGGUUAGGAAAAAAAAGGUACUAAUUAAUAACUAAGGUUAUCCUUCAAGACACCUACCUCCUUACUGACCUGCAUAUGUUAGAAAUGAUGGGAAGUGGAUAGCAGUGAAAAUUGAGUGAUGAAAUGAUUUCAUAAGACAUGGAGUAGCUGGGCAGAGGGGAGCGAAAACAAAGAAAAAGGUAUUUUGGGAAUUAGAAUGAACAUCACAUGUUGCAUCUUGGUGUAAGGAAUGGGAAAGAGAGCAAGAUGACAUAACUGGGGAGAAAUGUAGGCUGGUUGAUGAUUUAGUAGUGGUAGUUGUUGUUGAAGCUGAUUAUAGAGUGAAAAAGUAUUAGUUGAUUGGUGGGGUUAGAGAAUAGAGAUAGAAAGAGUAGUUUAUGUAGAGAAGAAUACUCUCCAAUGAGUCUUUUCUACAUACGGAUGAUGGUUGUAGUGGUUGUUUAGCAGAUCAUAGGUAUUUCAGUGGUGAACAUUCCAUCUUUUCAUUUAUUACUUCUGUCAGUUAUAUAUAAUACAUUAUAUUAAUAUUAUAUUAUUGUGGCUAUGUUGAGGUAUUGCCUCGAAGGGUUUAGUUGAACAAAUUACCCUUUGUACUUAUACAAUCAAUCGAUGUUGGUGUGUUUUAGUCCCUGUAACUUAGCUGUUUGGCAAAACAUAUCGAUGGAAUAAGUACUAGGCUUACAAAGAAUAAAUCCUGGGGUUAAUAUCUUUGAGUAAAGACAAUGCUCCAGCAUGGCCACAUUCACAUGACUGAAACAAGUAAGACAAUAAAAAAAACUAUGCCGUUUUAAUCCCGAAGAGCACCAGGUAUCUCAGUUUGAUUAUAAUUGAACUGGGGUUUGGAACGUGAAUUGACUUGAAAUUUUGAUGGAAGUUUUUCAUUUAAAUUCCUUUGACCGGAUGUUUGUGCCAUAGGAGUUUUUCAUUGAAAUUCCUUUGACCAGAUGUUUGUGCCAUAGAAGUUUUUCAUUGAAAUUCCUUUGACAGGAUGUUUGUGCCAUAGAAGUUUUUCAUUGAAAUUCCUUUGACAGGAUGUUUGUGCCAUAGAAGUUUUUCAUUUAAAUUCGUUUGACUGGAUGUUUGUGCCGUAGAAGUUUUUCAUUGAAAUUUCUUUGACAGGAUGUUUGUGCCAUAGAAGUUUUUCAUUUAAAUUCGUUUGACUGGAUGUUUGUGCCAUAGAAGUUUUUCAUUUAAAUUCCUUUGACAGGAUGUUUGUGCCAUAGAAGUUUUUCAUUUGAAAUUCCUUUGACCAGAUGUUUGUGCCAUAGAAGUUUUUCAUUGAAAUUCCUUUGACGGGAUGUUUGUGCCAUAGAAGUUUUUCAAUUAAAUUUCUUUGACCGGAUGUUUGUGCCAUAGAAGUUUUUCAAUUAAAUUUCUUUGACCGGAUGUUUGUGUCAUAGAAGUUUUUCAUUGAAAUUCCUUUGACCAGAUGUUUGUGCCAUAGAAGUUUUUCAUUGAAAUUCCUUUGACAGGAUGUUUGUGCCAUAGAAGUUUUUCCUUUAAAUUCCUUUGACAGGAUGUUUGUGCCAUAGAAGUUUUUCAUUUAAAUUCCUUUGACCGGGAUGUUUGUGCCAUAGAAGUUUUUCAUUUAAAUUGCUUUGACAGGAUGUUUGUACCAUAGAAGUUUUUCAUUUAAAUUCCUUUGACAGGAUGUUUGUGCCACAGAAGUUUUUCAUUUAAAUUCCUUUGACAGGAUGUUUGUGCCAUAGAAGUUUUUCAUUUAAAUUCGUUUGACUGGAUGUUUGUGCCAUAGAAGUUUUUCAUUGAAAUUACUUUGACAGGAUGUUUGUGCCAUAGAAGUUUUUCAUUUAAAUUCGUUUGACUGGACGUUUGUGCCAUAGAAGUUUUUCAUUGAAAUUUCUUUGACAGGACGUUUGUGCCAUAGAAGUUUUUCAUUUAAAUUCGUUUGACAGGAUGUUUGUGCCAUAGAAGUUUUUCAUUUAAAUUCUUUUGACUGGAUGUUUGUGUCAUAGACCCAAGGGCAGUUUUAGAAAGGUUUGUGUCAAAAGAGCUGAUGUGUUUUACUUUGUUUUCUGUAUAUAUUUUCUUGCUUGGUUCAAGGCCCUGAUGUUAGGGUUUGGGUUAGCCAAAUAGCUGGACUUGAUCGGUGUAUAUAUGAUUGUUUCGUUUCUUUUGUAGAUUUACUGUACGUGUUGGGCAACUUUUGAGCCUAAUAAAGCUAUUGAUACUGAAACUGUUUUAGUGUGGAAAUCAUUUUCUGUUUAGAUCACAUGGUGGAAACUGUUGUUUUGUUCCAGGCCAAAUAUGAAUCUGCAGUUUGGGAUCAAAGGUAUUUGAAACCCUGAUCUUUUACUCUAUCUCUUUUUUAAUUUUUUUUUAUGACAGUUUAUCUAUGUUUAAAAUACCCAAUGUAUACAUCCUUCUCCUUCUUUAAUCUGCUAGUGUAUGAUUUUAAUGAUGUAGCAGGGUGAACCGCCACCUAAAAGUCUCUUCAUUGCUUCCUGAAAAAGAGAAAGUGUGUGUGUUUAUUUGUUUUGUAAUAUGUUCUUAUGUAGUAAUUGUACUGUGAGUGUUUGUUGAUGUGUCUUAGGGUAUGGGUCACUGCAAAUGUAGUGGCAAGUAGCUGUGUGGGUUGAAGCAGAUCAUAGCAAUGACAUUCCUACCAUUGAACAUUUGUGUUUUUCUGUCAGCUUGUUUACCCUUUGUUCAAUUUACUUUCUAUUUGUUCUUGUUAUAUUGCUCUCUAGUUGGUGUUUAGUACCCAGAUUUAAGAUAGGCUACUCUGCAUUGAUAAAGGGCAAAUACUCUGAAACAUGUCUGCAGAUGCCUGACCAGCAAGGGGAAGUGGCUGACCUCCCCUGUUCGAAGGUUAUAAUGGACACAGGUUCGUGUCAUAUAGCUAGCUAGAGGUGAUGGCCUCUUGGAGCUAAUCAAUGGCAGCUUUAGUCUUAUAUCUAUGGACUGCCAUAUUAGCUUGGCGAUAACUAUUAAUGUUUUGUAGCAGAAAGAGUGGUGGUUGUGUGUGUGUGUGUGUGUGGUUGAAUUCCAGCAGGACUAGCAGUGUCUGAUCUGAGACAAUCAAUAGUCACAAUCAAAAACUGUUGCGUCCACUCUCAGAGGAAAUAGAUCAAGUAAUGAUCAUCACCACAGUGAUUAUUAUUAUGACUUUUUAUUCUUUUCACUUUUGGCGGUUGUUUUGCAUUUAAGGUUUCAUCUUAUAUCCAUACCCACACACACACACACACACUCACACAGACAAAGUGUCUAUAUACACACACAUAUGUCUAUAUACACACAGACGUGUGUGUGUAUAUGCACACAUCCAGAGGAGAUGCCAAUAUUAUGCGUAUGUGUUUGAUAAAUGAAGUGUGUGAUAGUGCUGUUUAUAAUAGUGGUGAUGGUAUCUCCUGUAUACCUCUGAUAAUAAUUUUAUACCUAACAAAUCAGCUCUUAACACUUUCUUUGAUGUGGCAUUUCAUGUUAACUCAAGCAGCCAAAUAACUUUUUUGAGGGGGAGGAAAAAAGAAUAAUAAUUAAAAAAUACACAUUUUUUUAGGUGACAUAUACAUUUUUAGGAACUCUGUCUGUGAUUAUGAAAAUGAAAAAUGUUUCCACCAUGAGCAGCCAAGAGUCUUAUCACUGUUACACAUCACUUAAUACUAUAAUCUAUGACCUAUAUUGUUUGUGAAUUUGUGUUACAGAACCAAACAUUCUCCUCCUCAUUAGUGACUAUGGUGAGUCUUAUCAUUCUUUGGAUUAAAAUGGUACCACUUCCUCUAUUUAUGGCAUAUCUGGAGCAAAUCAGCUUUGGCCUUUAAGUCUGUUCCUCCUAAUUUAAACUUGUAGGAGGAACAGAAUUUAAACACUGCAAGCUCUCCUUUUCAUCAUCACCACCACCACUGUUAUUGCCAUCAUAUUGUUUACCUGUGGCCAUCAAGGGUUGUUGAGAUUUUGCAUUUACAAGGUAGAUUUUGGGCUAGCAGCUUGUGAAGCCUACUCAGCUGCACAUACACUCAUUUUCAGCAAUAUGAAAUGAAUUACAUUACUCAAGGAAUCAAUCCAACCCCUCAGCCUUACAGUUGUGAGUCCAACAGCCCUAACCACUCAGCCACAUACAUGCAAAUAAAGAAAACACUUGUCAAUUUAUAGUACUCCCACUAGUUACAACAGUGGUACAACUCUAGUAUCUAUUUUAUUACCAGAUGCACCGAAGUAUUUUGUGACUUUGGCCUUAGACACACUCUGUCUGUGUGUCUCAACCCUUUUUGUCCUGCACUCUCACCUCUACCAUGAAAAAAGGAUUGUAUUUGUCAUCCAUAUAAGUGGUGGCUGCCCAUCAUGAUGUCAUUUCUCAUCUGUUUCCAAGCAAGCUAAUAUUUCUCCAUGGCUAGACAUGUUUUUCACAGAAGAUUGGAAAUGAACAUCACUUGUAUGACUAAUGUUCAUUUAGAACCAUCAUGUAAUACCAGAAAAAGGAUACGUGCGCACGCACACACGCACAUGCACACACACGCACAUGCACACACACACACACACACACACACACACACACACACUUCUUUCAGUUUCCAUCUGACAAAUUUACUUUCAUGGCUUUGAUUGGUCCAGAGCUACAGUAGAAGGCAUUUGCCCAAGAUGCUAUGCAGUGGGACGGAGCUCCAAACUACAUGGUUGGGAAAUCAGCUUUUUACAGCACAUCUCUAUGCCUAGUGUGUGUGUGUAUAUGUUUGUGUGUCUGUGUUUGUCCCCCCAACAUUGCUUGACAAUUGAUGCUGGUGUGUUUACGUCCCAGCAACUUAGCGGUUCAGCAAAAGACACCGAUAGAAUAAGUAGUAGGCUUACAAAGAAUAAGUCCUGGGGUUGAUUUGCUUGACUAAAGGCAGUGCUCCAGCAUGGCCACAGUCAAAUGACUGAAACAAGUAAAAGAGUAAAUAUAAUGAAGACUUAGUGAAAUAGCUGUCAUUAUUGAGCUGGUGGGAGGUGGACAGCUGGCAGAAUUGUUAGCACGCUGAGCAAAAUGCUUAACAUCAUUUCGUCAGUCUUAUUUUUCUGGUUCAAAUUCCACCAAGGUCAACUCUGCCUUUCAUCCUUGAUUAAAAAGUGUAUCAGUUGAGUAUUGCGCUUGAUGUAAUUGACUUAACCCCCUCUCCUGAACUUGCUGACCUUAUGCCAAAAUUUGAAACCAUUAUUCAGCUGGCAGAAUUGUUAGCAUGCGGGACAAAAUAGCUGCAUUUCGUUUGUCUUUAUGUUUUGAGUUCAAAUGCUGCCAAGGUCAGCUUUGCCUUUCAUGCUUUUGGUGUCUAUAGAAUAAGUACCAGUUAAGUAGUGGAGUUGAUGUUAUCAACUUAUCCACCUGUCCUGAAAUUGCUGGCCUUGAACCGGAUUUGAAACUGUAAUCAAGCUAGUGUUGAAAUUUUGGUGAAAGAUUUUAAUUUUGAUCAUCUUAAAACAGGAAAUUGUUACUAGGUGGUUGGUAUCAAAAAAGUUAACUCUUUGGGAAAUUAGAAGAAAUGUUAGAAUGCCAGAUUUGAGUAACAAACAGUAUUUAUUUCAUUUGUUUUGCCUUCAAUACCAAAGAGGUCAGCUUUUCACUUAAUCCCACUACACAUAAACAAAGACUGCAAAAUAAUACCAGUAAUAUAUUAGUAUUGAUUCUAUCAACUGUCACCACUGACAAAAGUUUGGGCUGCUGCCUAAGUUUUUUUUUCUUUUAUAGAAUUUUCAUUAUUUACCAGAAUGUCACCUCAUACUAGUGAAGCAUUCCUCCUUAGCUUAUAAUGAAAACUUAUCUUUAAUAGUUAAUUCAGAAUAUUUGGCUAGUUCCUGGAGUUGUAAUUGCAGCCAAGUUGUAUGCAUAAUUCUGUAAAAAAUCAAUUUGUCAGUUUCAUUUGUGAAAAGAAAAGUAAAUUGUGGUGAUAGUAAUAAUUCGUUUCCAAAUGAAUGAAUGCUCAGCCAUCAAUGGACAAAGAAUAUAGCCAUAUCAUCAUCAUCAUCAUCAUUUUGGAUUUCUUCAAUCAAAUUUUCUUUGGCCAGAUGCCCUUCCUAUCACUAACUCUAACUUGUUUCCUAGCAAGGUAACAUUUCCUCUAGCUGGAUGUGUUUUUCGUGGAAGACUAGAAAAAAAAAAACAGCCUCACUUGAAUGACCAUGAUAUUCAUUUGCAAUCAUGUGAUGUCAAGAUAACGGUACACGAUGAGCUUCUUUAAGUUUCUUUCUAUCAAAUCCACUCACAAGGCUUUAAUUGAGCCAGGGCUAUAGGAGAAAAUGCUUGCCCAUGGUGUUGUGUUGUAGGAAUGAACCUGAAUAAACCAUGGUGUUGUGUUGUGGGAAUGAUUCUGGUACACACACACACACACACACAUGCAUGCAUGUGCAGUCAUGGUCUGAUUAAAAUGUAUUAACCUGUUGCUAUGAUAAACAGGGAUAGCUGUAGAGUGAAGCCGCUUGGCACAAACUGACCUUGAACUCUGUCAUGCAUGCACACUAAGCUAUAAUGUUCUUACCCACUUCUAUUGUUUAAUUUACCUGGAGAGAAACAAUGCAGUUAUUAAAGAGUUGAAAUUACUGCAUGCAAGAAUUCACAAGUCUAGCAUCACUCUUUCAUAGUCAGGCUCUGAACUUUUCUGCUCACCCUUGUACACACAUGCAUUCAUUUACACAUAUACUAACAUACAUGCACACACUCAUAAAAAAAAUGUAAGUAUUAAGAAUAUGUACCAUUUUAAUGAUGACUUGUUUUCAAUGUUUGUAUGGGUCAAACAAAAAUACAUUAGGGAAGAACUUUUUUAUGGUAGGCUGCGCCACUCCUCCUGUCACCAACCCUACUCUCUUCAAGUGAUAUAAUGAUCUAGUCUGUUGCCAAAAUUUGAAACAAUUAUUUUUAAAGCUUUAAUAUUAUGAGCACAAUAAUCAUUCUAGACUGAUUUUACUUCUAACUGGUCUACAUUGUAAAUUAAAAGCUAGUUAGUUCAUUUAGCAAAUCAUUGAUUAUCUUUAUCCAGCUAUUGUUAGUUUGGCUAUUUUUAAUGUCCAGGUUUCAUUGCUUCAUAGUAUCUACAUACGAAAUUUAAAUGAAAUUAUUUCUACCUAUGUAUAUUGAGUGUAAAAAAAAAAAAAGUUGAAAUGUAUUUUUUCUGUUAAGAUUUUAUUAAUAUAAAAAAAAUCAUCAUAGUUAUUUAGUUUUGUUUCAUUCAUUGGACUGUGGCCAUGUUGGGGUUUCACUUUGAAGGGUCUCAGUCAGUCACAUCCACCCCAAUACUGGUUUUUAAGUCUCUUGCUUAUUUUAGCAAUCUCUGCUUGCUACACCAUUAUAUUAUGGAACAUAAACAUGAAUGUCAAUAUCCACUCACUCAUUCAUACAUGUGACAGGCUACCAAUUUCACUCACAAGGCAUUGCUCAGACUGAGGUUAUGGUAGCAAAUACUUGUCUGUGAUCUAAAUCUGAGAUCUUGUGGUUGCAAGGCAAACAUCUUUAACCACACAGUCACUUCUUCAUUGAAUAUUUAAUCUGAAGUCUAUUAUCUUGGUGUGAAAAUGAAGCCUCAGGGUGGUCAGGCUACAUUGACACAUGGAACAGAGAGCAGGAGUGAAUUUGUAAUGUUUGGAAGUCUAGUGGAUGCAACAGGAUAUGAGUUUCCAAACUUUCAACAUUGCAUUGUAAUGCCAUCAGCUGCAGCUUUUACUGUACCACAUCCUGCUUUUUGAUUUAAUCUUUCUGGUCUAACUCAGGCUUUAAUUUCGUGCCUAACUUUCAUGUCUGUCUAUAAAUUCACUGAAUCAUUAACUUGCUGUAUGUUUUUUUUUUUUUUUAAUUUUUUAUAGCAAAUUCACUGUUACUUGUUACCAUGACAAUAAACAAAUAUGCUAUGUGCCUACAAGCCUUGCUGUGCUAGAAAUAGUAGCAAAAUUUCUGAAAAUCAUAAUAUACUGUCUUAAAAGAAGCCUAUGUGGAUAAUGUCAUCCUAUAUACAUAAAAGGACAAGGAAGUCACUAUAGAAAUGAUCUUUGAUCAUGAACCUGCUCAGUGAGGACUGAUCUGGACUAAACAACUACAAGUGUUCUGUAGUACUGGUUGGCUGUUCUUUAUGUCAAAGAAUGGUCACAUUUGUCUUUGUAGAUCAAAGCAGAAGAUUCACUGAGAACUAUUGGAGAAAUCUUCAGUCAAAUAGCUUAUAUGUUUCAAGGGUUUCCCUAUGUUGUAAUUUAAUUCCAGAUCAAUACUAAUCAAGUAGGCCUAUAAUUAAAGGCUUUCCAGCUAUGACUAGCCCCACCCCCUUUGUUUAAGUAUAAUGUAUCUACUUAGUGUAGAACUUGGAUUUUUCAUAAUUUAAAAAUCAUUUUUUGGAAAGUAUGGUCAUCGUUAACUUAGGAAGAGCAUCUUAGUCAGUGUUGUUUAUUCCUUAUGAUCAAAGAUGUUCCAGCUACAUCCACCCCUGUCUUUCUGUAUAAUCUAGCACCACAUUGUUCAACAAAUCUUUUCUUUCACCCUUUUGCAUCCACAUUCUGUCAAACAUAAUGCUUAUUUAUUGACAUUGUUUUGAUUGAAUCCUGCAUUAUUUUGUAGCUUUGAGAUUUUGAUGAGGAGUGGCUGUUAAUUUUUACAAUGACAUUGCAGGGUUGGUGUGAGAGGCCAGAUCAUAAAAACAGGUUGAACUUCUUGGUCUGAUGAUAUGGUUGGUUUAAAUGCUAAACGGUUAAAACUAUGUGAUUUGAGGCAAUUUGUUUACUGCUUUUGCAUGCCUGUAGGAUGUAAUGGAGAUCUGACUGCUAUUGUUAGCAUGUCAGACAUCUAUUUAAAAAUUCUUUUACUGGUUUUCCAUUACUAUCUUCAUGUUAUGUCUGCUUUCCUUGCUGAGAUGGAUUGAACAGAUCGUCAUGGUCCAAAUGAGUUCUUAUUUGGAGUCACUGCUCUCCUGAUAUCUUUUGGAGAUUUCUUUUUUUGUUUUUGGAUAUUUUCUCUUGCUGUAAAAAAUCCAUUUUAGUGCCAAUAGUAAACUUCUUAUAGAUAUUUCCUGUAAUAAAGCUGCAGUUAUAAACAACACCACCACAGCAUUCAAUUAUUAAAUAUUGUCAUAGAUAUAUACUUCCCACAUGGAACAGAUUGAAGUGCAAGAAGACUCUUAAGUGUUAAACUUCAUUUAAUAUGUAAACAUUCUUUUUUAUUUUGUUUGUUUUCUCAUGUUAGUAUUUUAUCCUGAUUAGCUACUUAACGAAAAAGUUUGUAUUGACGAACUUCCUAUUUAGUACAGGAAAUCAGUUUGAGGAAUGUAGCAUGUGACAAACGGUAAAAAUAGAAAGUACUUAGUUUAGUGUGGGUGGCCAUCAAAAUGGAAAGAACUGGCCCUCCUCUCCAGAAGAAAGAAAUUCCUAAACAAAAAACAGUUCAUUCCUCAAAAAUGUCUGUAGAUAAUUCUUAUUGUUGUCAUUGUUGUUCAGUUGAUACAUCUUGUGACCUAAGAGUUUUCAGUGUCAGGAACUACUUGAAAGAACAACAGCUAGAGAUAGCAAUCAAUCUGGGAAGAGCUGUGUAGUGGCUUCAGUCCUGAGAGGAAGCUGGCAAAAGAAUUUGUGGUGUGAAUCACUUGAAUGUUCUUAGACUACUACUGCCUGAAAUAGUGUUCUAUGAAGUCAGUGGGUUUGGUGGGUGUUGUGGUUCAGUGAAGGUGGUAAUGGGGAGAGGAGCAUACAGCAACAACAAGGAGGAAGAGAUGAAUGAAAUAGGAAUAACUCUUUAAAACACAUGCGCACAUAAAUUGAUUGUCAUCAUUUUAAAACUGUUCCCUCCCCCACCAUACUGAUGUGAAUAGGGCUGUUCAUAUUUACUAUUAUACUAUUUGACAUACUCCUAUGAUGUAAACGCAUGUCAACAGAGAAAACAACAGAGAUGACAUAUCGUCAUCAUCAUCAUCAAAUGUUUACUUCCAUGCUGGCAUGGGUUGGGCAGUUUGAGAAGUGUUGGUGUCCAGCAGGUCUGAAGACAACAUUGUAUUCCAGUGUUUACUCUAGUAUGGUUUCUAUAUAACUGUGUGCCCUUUAUAAUGCUGACCACUUUAAAGUGUACUGGGUGUUUUGUUUUGAGGGCACCAGUACUAGUGAGGUCACUCGUACAUCUUGCAAGACUGAGCCCCCCUCCCUUUGGCUGAGUGGGGCUACAUUGGAGUGGGAGGUGGCUUUCUGUUAGGAAAUGAGGGUUUAAGUUACAAAGGAAGAGUCCAGAACAAUCGGUUUCUUGCUGUAGGGGGACUAUGUAACUACUCCCAUUAUCGAAAGGAGAGUGGCUACAGUGUUUGUUGAUGUGUAUUUAGUCAAUUGUCUGAAUGAAUGUAGGGAUCUGGAAACUCAGACUAACACAGACUGAUUCUUUGGCUUUUAAUAAAUAAAUAAACUGUAUUCAUCAUCAUCAUCACCAACAUCAAACUUUGGUUUUUCCAUGCUGGCAGGAAGUGGAAAGGCAGGAGCUACACCAGGUUUCAUAGACUGUUUCAGCUUGAUGCCCUUCUUAAUGCCCACCACUUUACUGAGUGUAUUGGGUGAUUUUUACAUUGCACCACCAUCAUGCUUUUUACAUGGCAUCAGUACCAAUACUUUUUACGUGGCACCAAUAUCUACACCAAUGCUGUUUACAUGGCAACAGAUCUUAAUUCUGUUGUGAUGGGUGGGUCUUCUUGAGCACAGCAAUGCACCACGUAGUAUUGCUUUUUCAUAUAUAUUUCUUUAUUGCCCACAAGGAGCUAAACACAGAGGGGGACAAACAAGGACAGACAAAGGGGUUAAAUCGAUUACAUCGACCCCAGUGCAAAACUGGUACUUUAUUUAUCGACCCCGAAAGGAUGAAAGGCAAAGUCGACCUUGGCGGAAUUUGAACUCAGAACGUAAUGACAGACGAAAUACUGCUAAGCAUUUCGCCCGGCAUGCUAACGUUUCUGCCAGCUCGCCACUUUUUCAUAUAUGUUUAUCCAAACAUACAUGUAUAUCAGUGGAAAUUUUUGCAUGUGUCUUCUAUGAAUGCCAAGGCCAACCAGAGCCUUGUGAGUAGAUUUUGUAAAUGGAAAUUGAAAGAAGCUCAUCUUUUUUUUUUUUUUAUCUCAAGACAUAUAAAAAUAAUUUAACAUUAAACUGAGGGAUUGCUUAAUGCUUUUAAGUAGAGUACAUACUUCCUUUCAUAAGGAAAAGGUUGACAGUCAAGUCAAAUGCUAGUCAUGGCUGUUGUCGGUGUCGUGUAAAUGGAAUCAGUUGUGGCUGUUGCUGGUGCCAUGUAAAAAGCACCCAUUACUCUCCUUGGUGCAGCCUUACAGCUUACCAGUUCCAGUGAAACCAUCUAACCCAUGCCAGCAUGGAAAGCAGACAUUAAGUGAUGAUUAUGACGAUAUAUGUAUAUAUGAUAUACAUAUAUUUGUGUGUGUGUGUAUAUUAUUUACGGAAAUAAUGUGUUCUCGAAUAUCUGGUCGUAACACGAAAUUCAGUAAUGUGAAAUAAAUUUUUCUUUCGAUUUUCAUUUUAUCAGGUGAGAUUGUGUUCCUACAGACUUUAUUGCAAAAAACAAAAGAAGCACAGGGAAGCAACACAAAUGAAGUAACACGAUCACCUUUAUAUAUGAAAAUAACUAUUUCUAAACAUAAAUGGUACAAUAUACAUACAUAAAACUGCAAAAACAUUUCAAGAGGAAUAAGUUGAGGAAUUAAUAAGUAUUGUAAUAGUGUAAGAGUAAGUUCUUACCACAAAAGAUAAUUGACUAUGAGGGGUGAGGGGUGGUGGUAGAAUGAGCUUUACCAGGAAGAGGAAGGACAAUAUUUGGUAUCUUAUUCUUUGUUGUCAUUAACAUCAGCUUGAUGGGUGAAGAACUUAUCCAAAGUUGUUUGUUAUUUAUGACGCAUCAUUUCUUUCUGCAGCUCAGUUGGAAUUGAGUUCAUUGUAAGCUCCUCUUGUAAUCUUUGUUACAUUCACAAUUAGUCAUUAUCAGCAAAAACCUACAGACCUUCCUCUAUCAGUGCCAACCAUUUAGCAAUAAUUUUUGUAGUUUUUGAGUGUAGGUGUAACUUAUGUUGUCUCCUCAGUAUUCUCAGCUUGUUCUAAUGGUAUCAACUUCUCAUUAGCACUAGCAACUCAAUCACAUCAUCCUCUAUGACUUUUUCAAAUCCUACAUUCUUUAUAAGUGUCACAAUAUCUUUCCAAAUUUGAUGUACACUCUCUGCUUGAGGAAGAACUUGCAAUGUCAUGGAUACAGUCUGGUCAUCUACUUUUCCAAGCACUAUCCAAAGAUGAAGGUUUCACUUCAUCCCACAACUCAGCUGUAUUAUCCACAGCAUCCAUUAUGUAGAAUUUCUUCCAGAAAUCUUUAACUGUUUGUAUAUCCUCCCCAUCAAUAGCUUUAUAAGUUGUUUAAAAGUUCUUGUAUAAUAUGCCUUAAAGUUAGCUAGUACAACUGGAGCGAAAAAGGUGCAUUCAUGGGGAUAUAUUCCACUCACAUUAUCAGAAAGGUCAUCUAAGUUCACUGGGUGGUUCAGUGUAGUGUCUGAAAGAAGCAAUGCUUUGUUGGAAAUGUUGUUUGGCACUGUACCACAGACGAAUACGUUUAUAAAUCAUUCUCUGAAAAGACUCUGAAAGUCAUCCAUGCUUUCUCAUUUGAAUGUCAAAUCAGAUUAAACUUUGUGUAACCCUUGAAAGCCCUAAGAUUUUCAGAAUGAUACAUGUGUAGGGGUUUUAAUUUCAUGUUACUAGUAGUAUUUCCUGAUAUACAUGAUAUACCCUAACUUUGUCUCCAACAAUUCGGUGCGACACCAGUCCAGAAUCACCUCCCUCCGACAAGUCAUCCUAAUGAGACGUCUGCGUUGGCUGGGUCAUGCCCGCCGUUGUCAAUCAGGAGAAUUCAUCUACGAAGCAAUUGCCCCAGGUCCCCUUCAGGGUUGGCGAAAGCGAUGUGGUGGACAACGAAAAACCUGGCUGAUGACAAUCAAGGCUGAUCUGGAACCCAACCUAGGCCCCCAUAUCUAUGACGUUCGCCGCUGGAAUAAGGAGUGGUUGGAGAUCACACGGUUGUUAGCCUCAAAUUGCCAGGCCUGGUCGGUGUUUGUGAGAGAUGCAGCAUUGAGGAUGAAUGAAGCCAGCUCAAUCCACCCCGGGUGAAUGCUGUCAAGUCAAGUCAAGUCAAGUAGUAUUUCCUCCCAAAGACGUAUUUCUUCUCAAAACUUGGAAGCUAUCAAUUUUGGUGUCAAUUUUUCUUCUUGAGAAAUAAAAGUUCUAGCAGGCAUGUACUUCCAGAAAAGUGCCAUUUCAUCAACAUUGUAUACUUGCUUGGGUGUGUAGCUCCCUUCAGCAAUCAUUUUCUUCAACUUCUCGGGAUAAUUAGUAGCAGCCUCUGUAUCCGCGCUCUCAGUUUCACCAGUCAUUUUCAUGCCAUGCAAAUUCAUACAUUUCUUAAACCUUUCAAACCAGCUUUUGCUAGUAAAAAAGGUAUUUCCUUUAGAAGUUUCACCUUCCUUUUUCUGAAAAUCGUCGUAUAAAUUGUUGGCUCUUUUGAAUUACCAUUGUGUUUAUCAGCACAUUACGCUGAUUCUGAUGCUCAAUCCAUACACUCAGUAGUUGUUCCAUGACUUUAGAUCUAUGGAAAAAUAAGGUCUGGACAGUUAAUGGGGUAACUUCUUGAGCUCUUGACAAUUUUUAUACUGUUGUCAUGCAUUGUUCCACUGUAGACAUUGAAAGAUUUAAUGUUUUGGCAAUAUAACUUAGUUCUACUAACUUAUCAAGCAUUUUUAAAACACCAUUUGAUAUCCAGUGUAAUCCUUUAUGGUUCCUCUUUGCACUACUGUCUUCAGGUCUACUUGAUAGCUUCUUUCCACACAUCUUACAUUGAAAGCAAAUCCAACAACAGUGGCAAUUAAAUAACCACAACAAAAUAUGUGGUCAAAAUAUAAUUGGCCAAGGAAACCUGAUUUGUGAGAGCUGAAAAUGGUCUUUCUUCCUAUUGAUGCAAUAAUGAAAUUGAGAUGAAAAAGUGAAGGACUGAGGAAGAGAAAGUAGGAUAGGAUUAGUUUCUGGAAGAGUCACCUGGUUUUAUUGGCAAUUUACUCCUUGCAUUUCUGAUUUAAGACAUAAAUGUGUGUGCACACGUGCAUGCACACACAUUGGGGUUGAUGGUGGUGAUGAAGUGGGUUGCAUUGGUCUUGAUCGGAGCUGGCCAAUCUGAGGCCCACAACUCACAGACUUUUAUCUUGUGGCCCGCUCAAUACUUUCUUGAAAUGGGUGACCUCUUUAUUGUGUUUAAUUUCAAAAUAAAAUUGUUAGUGUAAAAUAAGAGACUGAUAAAAUAAGUACUAGGCUUACAAAGAAAAAGUCCUGGGGGUUGAUUUGUUCAACUAAAAGGCAGUGCUCCAGCAUGGCCACAAUCAAAUGACUGAAAUGUGUAAAAGAAUAAAAUGAAAAGUAUGAAAAAUUCUUGAGUCUGUAAUUUGAUUAUUUGACUGUGAAUGCAUUAAGUAUAGAAGCAACCCUCGAAAAACUUGCUGUGAUUAAAAUGGCCAGCAAUGCAAUUCUGUUGGCCAGGCCUGAUCUAGAUGUUAGUCACAGUGUGUGAAUAUUGUUGGUGUUGAAGUGGUUCUUUUGUUCUUGCUAAUUGUAUUGAUGUAGCUGUUGAGUUUGAAGUCAAUCCUCAUAGACCUCAGAUCAAACACAUUUCAUUCAACUUUUCAAAUACUAGGCUACACCUUUGUUUUUCUUUGAAAUGGACUUAUUUCUUUACUUCUUCAUACUAUAUAUUACUGUUGUUGUUGGUGAUGAUUGUGUUCAUGUUGAUUGAAACAUACACAUAAGCACCCGUUCAUUACACACACACACACACACUAUGUACAUUAUAUAUACGUGUGUAUGUGUGUAACAUGAUGAUAAUUGUUCAAAUCGUUAACUAUAUGCUUUGAUCUUAACUAAAAUGCAAGUGGCCAUUGAGCCAAGAAAAAAAAGUAAAUUUUAAGUUGUUGACAAUUUAAAACUACACAAUAUGAGUUUCCUGUAAGAGCAAAAUUAAAGACCAUAUCCCAAAGUUAAUAGUCAUAUUUUCGUUUCCCAAUAUUCUGAGGUAGCUGUAACGUGAAGCUACUUGUGUGUGCGUGCACGUGUAAGAGAGGGAGUUCAUAUUUUGCUUAUUUGUCAUGUGUUCACUUGUAAACAUGGACAUCACUGUGGUGUUAUUUGCUUACAGUCCAUUGAGAAAGCAGUCCAUUCUGUUUGUUACUUGGUAGACUAGCAGAAUAUUAGUUUGCUUAGAAACAAAUGGAGCAGCUUGCCUUAGAAAACUUUGACCCAACAUACUUUUGUCUGAUCUAUGCAAACAUAAAAAACUAGACGUUAAAGCAAUAAUGAUGAUUAAUACAAUUAACGAAUCCAAAUUUAAUUUAAAUCUUUGAUUUUUAAAAUGAGACAGCUGGAAAAGAGGGUACAUACAUGCCAUGUGUAUUCUGCUUCAAUUAUAUGGUUUCGAUUCUUAUAAUUGCAUGCUGUGGCAUAGAUACCAGGAGCCUCCCCUAAUACAUAGGCAUACAAUAUAGGCAACUGUGAAAUUCAGUGUAAAAUAUUAAAUUUAUGACUAGGAAAUAUGUUGAAAAUUGACAAAAUGGUUAUAUUUUUGCUAAAUGUCUUCUUGAAUUUAGUUAACAAGUAUCAUGUUGAAAUAACUUCUUUUUGGCUAGGGUAACUUCUAAAGGAUUAGCAUCCACAAAUUCUGAGAUCUUUUCUUCAAUUAUCCAUGUUCUAGGCCUUGUGUUUAGGGUGUUUGAACCACAGUCAUGAUGUCAAGGGAUUCAGUUCUUGGACUAGGUGAUGUGUUGUAUCCUUGCGUAAGACACAUUCACGUUGCUCCUGUCUCUUUGGCUCUAUUUCAUUUGUUGGUGUACUUUUCACCUUUCAGAUGACAAACCCUGGUUGUUCUUUUGGGUCAAUGUAAGGUAGAGUUGAGAGGAUGUCUAUGCUUGCUCAUAACUAUGUAGGCACCUAAAACAAUUGGCAAAUGCUUGAUACAUACUCGUUUGUAGGUGACUGUUGGCUCUUUACAUGCUCUGAUAAACAACGUUGACAAUCCUAGCUGGGUACCUUGAGGUGCUAGUUGACAUUUCCAUCACUGACGCUAUUCUUUGGCUUUAAUAAAAUCAUUUGGUAUCAUUGCUUAGUCCUAGAUUAGUCCGGAUUUGGCUGACCUAUGAUCAAAGGCAUCCAGCAAUAACAUUCCUAGUAUAUUAUUAUUUUCUUAAUUCAGAUAUUAUCAUAUUUUAUGGACAGGCAUGGCUGUGUGGUAAGCAGCUUGCUUUUCAGUCACAUGGUUCUGAGUUCAAUACCAUUGCAUGGCAUCUUGGGUGUCUUCUACUAUAGCCUCAGGCUGGCCAAAGCUUUUGAAUGGAUUUGGUAGACAGAAACUGAAAGAAGCUUCUGUGUGUGUGUAUUUGUCCUCCCACCACUGUUUGACAACUGGUGUUGGUGUGUUUGUGUCCCCUUAGCAGUUCAGCAAAAAAUAUAAGUACUAGGCUUUAAAAAAAAAAAAUAAAGUACUGUGUUUGAGUCAUUCAACUAAAAAUUUGUCAAGGUGGUGCCCCAGCAUGGCUGAGGUCUGAUGACUAAAACAAGUAAAAGAUCCUGAGAUCAGCUUCUACUAUUUCUUUGGUCUUGGUCUUUCUCUUCCAGUUUCCCUCCCCUUGGAUGUUUCUUCACUUACUCGUUAUGUUUCCCAUCCAUCACAUGCCUGUACCAAUGUAAUAUUUGUUGUUGCACAUUUAAGAUGAUUCCUAGUUUAUCUUCCAUAAUUUUUUAUUCCUCAUUGUCAAGUGCUAGAUAUAGACUCGCAUCAAAGUGUAAACACUCUAUAACUUUCUGAAGUAUUAACAAGUAAAUUGCAAAGUAUCUUACUGGCUGGUUGAUGUCCUAAUCAUUGCCUGAAUGGGUUUCUAUCAAGAGACGCUUGUGUUAGGUGGGAAUGUGUGAGAUUAAAAUGGGUUUAUUAAAACUUGUAUACAUUUCUCCUAAGCAUUUAGAUGACUAAAUUACUGGUUAGUGAUUGGUCACAGUCUUUAUUUUGGAAGAGUAAACAGUAAAGUGAACUUGAUUGGGAAUUGAACUCUGGGAAUUGAACAUAAAUAGGCAUAACCAAAUGCUAAAAGAUAUUUUAUCCAAUGCUCUACCAAUUAUACCAUCCACCAACCAUAGUCUACAAUGGUCUGGGAAUCCAAUGACCAAAGGCUGUGCACUAUCUCAGACUCUUGGAAUUUAGAGAAAAUAUUUGUAUGACCUGAAUAUUCUAUAAUCCAGAACUUUUUGAUAUUUCAAUCUCCUUCCAUCCCACCUCCUUCUGCUACUCACCCUAAAGUGUAAUUUAUGCAUUGAACUACAUUUGAGAAAACUAACUGACUCUGUUUAAGGCCAAAGUUAUCAGUUUCCUAACUGGGUUUGUCAGCUUGGAGUUGAUUUACUGAAAAUGCACACAUUCACGCACUCUCACUUGUUAACAUACUCUCACUCACACACCCUCAUUUAUAUGUACACACACACACUCAUGCUCAUUCAUAUGCGUGUGCACACACACACACUUCCACACUUGCUCACUCACACAUACAUACUUCCACACUUUCACUGGUGCUUGUGCACUCACUCGUAUAUUCACUUACACAUAUUUCUGUAAGCACACAGACUUACUCCUCUAAGCACACACACACACACACUCUUACAAGCAUUGACACAUAUCUAAUGCAGGCAGUCUUAUGUGUGUACUAGGAUUACUGAAGACGUUCACAUUGACAUCUCUACUCCUAUCUCCACCUUAUCCAACAUUGAUUUUGAAAAUCAAACCAAAUGUUAAGUCCUAUAAAUAUAUUUUUGGUUUGGAACCUGCUCCUGUGAUUAGAUACUUUUAGAAAUUGUAGAAUUUAGUUUUUCUUAAAAUAGAUGCAUAAAAAAAUAACUCUUGAUAGAAAAAACAAAAUUGAAGACAAAUUUUGUCCAAAUUUCUUUUCCAUUAAAUUUAUGUAUUUGUUUUCUAAUUGCAAAAACGCUUACCUUUUCACUUGCCUCAGUUAUGAGUCAGUGGCCAUACUAGAGCACAAUCUUGUAAGUUUUUUUUUUAAAGUUAGCCAUAUCAAUCUAGCACUUAAUUGUAUAUAUGGUACUUAUUGUAGGGAUUUCUGUUUAGUACACUACUUUACUCCAAACAUUUACCAGUUUGCUGUCAGUUAGGUAUUCAGAAUAGGUUAUACAACAGUUAAUAAUACUAUGUCCCUUUGUAAUAAUCCUUAUUAUUGUUGAUACACACACACACAUAUAAUUUGAACCUCCGGGGAGAUGAUGGUGGUGGGGGAAGAUGAAGAUGCAUGGUUUUAUGCUGUGCUUGAGAAGACCCAUCCAUCUCAGCAGAAUUGAGGCUUCUUUUGCAGCUCAUCUUCUCACACCCAGUCUUUUAUGUUACCCUAUUUUCUUCACUUCCCUAUACACUGAACUGCUCUCUCCUGCAUCCAACUCGUUUCUUCUCUCUAAUCCUGUCACACUAUUUUUCACUCAGUGCACAUACCUUUUCCCCCUAUUCUGUCUCAUAUUCACCAUGUACCUGAACCUCAUUGUCCUUUUAUAGGGAUUAUAUUUCUUAAGGGUGAUAAUUGUUUAAGGGUUUCUAGUUCAUGGUUUUGUUGUGUGCACAGACACACACACACUCUCAUAGUCUCAUUUAAUAUCCAGUUUCCAUGUAUCUAUGGGCUGGACAGUUCAACUAGAUCUACAAAGCCAAGGGACUGUGUUUCUGCGUCAGUAUCUGCUUUGGAUGGUUUCCAUAGCUCGUUGCAAUUCCUAAUAACAACCACUUUACAGUGUAUGCUAGAUGCUUUUUGUAGCAUCAACAAUGGAGAUCACCUCAUAAGUUGCAAGGCUAAGAGCCUGAAGUGGCUUCUGUAACUAACAGAUAAUAGAAGAGAGAAUGGGUGGUGAUUCUUGGCAAUGGUGGUGGGAUGAGGAAGAUAAAAUGAGAGGAAAGAUUGUUCGCCAACAUAACAUGGCAGUCCUGGUUUACGAUGAAUGUUGCUGUAAUUUAGCCCCAGGAGACAUCAUCUCCAGCUGGCUAUAUGAUAUGAUCUGUGUCCUUAUAUUUUCGAACAAGGGAAUCUAGCACCCCCACUCAGCUCAAAACAAUAUCUGUGUAUCAUGAUUUCCAGAUUAUUUCCCUUCAUCAGCACAGAAUAAUUGUUCAGCUAGAGGUAAAAUCUGUAUUAUGAUCAUUAAGAUCGUACAUAGAAAAGGACAUUACAAGACAAACAAAUACAAAAAUGUUAAAUGAGUUCGAAUGAGCAUUAUGUUAAAAAUUUAUUUUAUAUGAAUAACUAAUUUUUUACCUUUAACUAGAACUUUUUUUAAAAAUAAAACAAAGAAAUAAAACAAUAAAAGUUUAAAAGAUUGAAGCUGGCAGCCUAUAAGUCCCAGCAACUAGCUUUUCCUUUCAUCGAUGAUUAAGCUGGGUUACUGACACCCACCUUUCUCAACACAUCCUUCCAUCGUUCCUCAUAUUCACUCGGUGAACCCCAUCUUGCUCUUCAGAUGGUAUCUGAAGUAACACAGCAAACCAGGACCAGAGACGAAGGACCCUGUCACAAAACCUUCCAUUCUAGUCCUCCAAACACACUCUUUCAGUACUGCAACUGUACAGUAAAAACAAGCCUUACCUUCCUUGAGGGUCCAGUUGGCGGUAUCAUCUUUAUUAUAGAUCCAGUUGACAGCUGUACUCGUCCCAGAUGCGACAACAUGUGUUCGACAUAACUUAUGAAGCUAGAUAGCUCCCGAUAAAAGCGUGCUGAACGGUUUCAACGUCCAGUCCACAUCUUGGACAUGUCAGUGGCACUGACAAACCGUGCUUGGAUAACUUAUCACAAACAGGUAAUGCAUUCCUGUAGCACUGCCAGGUCAGGGAUUUUUAGUUGUCCAAGUACCCUGGCCUGAAAGUUCUUUUGAACAGGUUGGCAAGUUGGUUCUCAUUGAACCCCAGAGCCCCUCCUAGGACGUCAUCGCUUUUUGCCUCUACCAGCCCUCUAUAGAACACUGAGGUGGUAUUCCCACUGCCGGCCUUGCCUGUCUUGUGGAUCAGCCAGAGUGCUAGAUGGCACUCCUUCUGCCAUAAAGUCAGAUUACGUUUUUUAAUGAAACCGGGUUUAAAUCUCUCCAAAGAGGCUGAUCGUGGCAAGAACUCCUCCGCUAGCAGACUCACACCUUAUCACUCUCCAGGUGGGACCAGAGAUGUCUCAGCCUCAAUGCAUGUCUGCGCAUUAGCCAGGGCAUUCCCAGUCCACCCUUUAAUGGUUCCUGGCAGCAAACAGAGUGCCUCACAAGUGGCUUUCCUCCCUUCACAAAAAGUGGAAGAGGAGUCAUUCCAACUUGUUUAGCCACAAAUCGGGGCAAGGCACAAUGGACAGGUGGUAGGUGGUUACAGAUGCUAUGAACACCUGCACCACCUCUGCCCUGCCCUUCAAGGACAGGGGCCUUCCAGACCACUUCCGUUCUAUUGCCUUCACCUUGUCCACUACCUUGCUUCAAAUUUCUGUCUGGGAGUCUGAACCAAACCAAACUCAAGCAACUUAACAGGACCAUCUGUCCAGUGUCCAACGACACUGGAUGAUAUUGGCUUGUUCCUCUAGGUGCCGAGGCGCAAACCGAUGGACUUGUCAUUGUUAACUUUUGCCCCUGCCAAUGCUUUGUAUCCUUGGAGAGCAUCUUCUACAUGAGGUAGUUGUGCUUUGUUGGACAUGAUGAGGAUGACACCAUUCGCAUAAGCAGAAACAGACUUACUGCAUCCGAUUUCAUUUGAGUUGCCUCCAAACUUCUCCAACUUCUGCAGCAAUGGCUUAAGAGCCAAAACGUACAGAAGCGGAGACAAGGGACACCCUUGAUGAACAGAAUGCUUGAUUGAAAACGGCUCCGUUAGGUAGCCGUUUAUCUGGACUGUGGACUUGAUGUCGCUGUACAUAGCGGAGAUCCACCCAUGAAAGCCAGGGCCCAGCCCAGCCGCUUCGAGGACUGCCGCCAGGUAUCAAUGGUCUACCCUAUUGAACACUUUACUUUGGUCUAAAUGGCCCAAUGCUCCUCCUUUGACGGCUAAUUUCCCAACCCUAUCGAAGGUGUAGUGGAGAAGGUGAAGAUUAUCAUAGAUCAACCUGCCUGGGAUUGUACAUGUCUGCGCCUUUCCAACAAUUUUCUCCAUGACAGCCGUCAACCUUUUUGCUAACACCUUCGCCAAAAUCUUUAACUCUACAUUAAGUAGAGUUAUGGGCCUAUAAUUACAGAUACUACCCCACUUGCUCAGGUCUUUCUGGACCAGUGUCACAACUCCCUGGCUCACAGAACUGGGAAUCCUCCCAUUCUGUUGCCAGUUUGCAUAGACACCUGCCAGUAUAUCCCUGAACAAGUCCGGCAUACAACGAUAAAACUCAUAGAGCAAACCAUCUAACCCCAGCGACUUUUCCCUGGCACACUCAGCCAACACCUCUCUUACCUCUGCGGGAGUGAUUGGUCCUUCACAGCAUUCAGCCUCACGUGCCAAGAGUCGCGGUCCACCAGUUAGGAAGUCCUUUAAGGUCUCUCCCCGCUCAAGCGGACCACUUUCCCUGAACAACCGAGUGAAAUGCUGGUGAAAGACUUUCUGCAUCUUCUCCUCUCCAUAGAUCUUGCGCCCCUGUUCAUCCGUUAAAGACUUUAUAGAGGACUUUUUACUUCUCUGAUUCUCCUCACGACGAGCCCAUCCAGCAACAUUAAUACCUUCUCGUUUCCCUGCAUGUAGCUUAGCUCUGACUCUGCAAUCUUCAUGCUUGGCAUUGAGGUGACGGUACAAGACUGUUCUCGCUGCCAACACUCUAGAUGCAGAGCCAGAUUCCAUUGCCUCAUCUAAGUUCUUAACUAAAUCGCCCUCUGUUCUAGUCCUAUCUAAACCCAGCUGCUUGCUAAAUCUAAUGGACGCCAAACGGAUGGCUCUUUUGUGGGUGUGCCACCAUCUAUUGUUAAUGAUGGUGCCACAUAAUGCCCUCUGAACUAACACCUUAAUCCGGGUACAGAAAGCUUCACAAGUCAAAAUGGACUUGUUCAUUUUCCAAUACCCGGGUCUCUGUCUAUGACAUUUAUCUACGUGUACCUCACACGUCACAAGUUUGUGAUCUGUGUAAGGCACAAUACAAAAUUGUAGACAACUAACACUAUCUCUUUCUUUAAUAAAUACCCUAUCUAGUUACGAUCUGCGUGAGCCGUCAUUGUUACUCCAUGUCCACUUUGGAACGCUUGGCUCAUCCAGUCAGUAAUGGUCUACUAGAUUAUAGCUCUGUAGUAGACAUUUGAGGCAAGGAUUCCCUUUCCUAUCAGUUGAGCCCACACUAUUGACCUGCGCUUCGAGGAUAGUGUUGAUGUCCCCUAAAAAAACUAAUGUUUUAGACGUCACUAGAAAGUGCUCCAGUUCCUGAUAAAAACCUGACUGCAUACCCUUCUGAGAAGCGUAUACAGCUACCAACCUGAAGGAUUGUGUACUCACGUAUGUCACAUCUAGUACAACCAGCCUACCUUCUGGGUCCAGAAAGACAGUACUUAUCUGUAAGUCCAAGUUCUUCCUGAUAAGGACUGCCAUGCCUGCACCCCCUCCUUGGCUAGGAGAAAUAAAUUUCUCGUAACCACUCAGAAGAGACGAGAAUGCUUGAGGUCCACUCAUCUUGGACUCGGUUACAAUAGCCACAUCUAUUCUAUGUGUCAUGAGGUCGUUCAGGAAACAAGCCUGUUUCCAUCUCAACCCCAUUCCAUGCACAUUUAAACAACCUAACUUAAUCAUUGAAGAAAGAAAACAAAUUUGUAAAAGGGGACAUGGCAAGUUUUUGUCUGCCUGCUUCCCCAAAACUUUCCGUAGUUGCUGGGCUUUUCACCUGUUAGAAUGGCUGCCAGGCUGAUAACUAGCUUCCCGGCUAUCACCUCCUGGGUGACAUCUUUGAUUAAAUUGUCUUUAACAUGUUCUUAGAGCAGUUUUCCUUUCCACUCCUCCCCUCUGACUUUGGCAUAAUGAAUGUCAGACUCUUUGUCUGUCACCUUAAAAAAUUUAAUGUGUGGGUGUGCUUUAAUCAAGCAUAAAACCCUCUCAUUUUUAACAUUGAAAGCAACAAUCCUGUCUGUUUUUUAAAGCCUUUUAGUGUUAGGGUGGGUGGGCUAUGUUGAAACACUGGCCUGUCCUAUCAACGUAGCACUGGCGGGGGGUAGGAUUGGAAAAUUUUUUGUCAUUGUUCGUUGGUGUUUGUAGUUUUCCUUUUUGUUUGGGGAGGGGAGUCUGGGGGUGCUAUCUUUUUUCCAUUUGUAGGUAACUGCUGUGUAUUCCAUAUCUUCUUGUUCAUUUUCUUUUGUUUGUUUUUUUCUUCUUCCUUUUGUUUUUCAUUCUGUUUUUCAUUUUGUUGUUUUUGUUAUUUUCUUUUGUUAGUGCUGUGUUUUCCUGUUUCUUUUUCUCUGUGUUUUUCUCCAUGGUUUGGGGAGGAACCUCGACUGCUCUUUUCUUUGUGCAGGUAGAGCGAACGUGGCCCUUUUGCCCGCACUUAAAACACCUGGACCUAUGUCCCUCCAUCGAUACACGAAUUGUAUGCCCCUCCCCCACAAAGACUCUAUCUGGCAAAUUUUCUAAUGUUGAGUUAUCUGCUUGUAUCACCAUUUCAGGAUUGUUAAUUUCCCUUCGAUGUCAAAUAUUACAUGACUUCGUAACCAACAGGUAUCUCCUCAACCAUUGCUUUUGUCGUUUGAUGACCCAAAUACAUAGGCAGCAACAUAAUCUCCUCACACUUCAGUGUUUGAGUCGAAAUUUCUUUUGCUACGUUAGCUGACUCGAAAUGUGCUUCUAUUGUAGUACUUCUUACACCUCGGUUAACGUAGCAAAUCUUGUUCCAUAUUGGUGCCAUACAUCAUUCAAUGACUUCAUUUUUUACUUCAGUAAUUCUUUUAUCCUUUAUACUGCAAAUUUUAUAAACAACAGUUUUUUCUUGAAUUGCCUGAACAGUUUCAGGGGGUGGUAUCACCUUAGUUUCUUCUCUGUUUUUUAAAAAUUAAUUUUCUGAACUGGAAGAGCUUGUCCAUGGCUACUUCCAGUUCAGUGACAUUACCACCUAUGGUGGCUGAAAAACUUCGUUUUUCCUGGUUAUCCUUUGGUUUUUUGUUGUUAUUUUUAACUUCUCCCAUCUCUGGAAAAUCCAUAUUGGAUGUGAGGUCAAAAUCCAUACUUGUUGCAAAUGACAAGAAAAACUUGUCACCAAAAUUUUCAAAAAUAACAGUUCACAAAAAUAUCAGAAAUUUUCUGCCCCAUAGGGUGAAAAUUACUGUUUAUCAAAAGACAGCAGUUCAAAUAAAUGUACAGUAACACACAAUAACAAUAAAAACACAAACAGAAACGAACUCAUGUAACGAUUGGGUAGCAAAUGAAAAUAAUGACGCGUAACUGAGGAAAAAUUGUUCGGCUAGAGGUGGUGCUGCCAAAUUCCUGUUUGAAAUAUAUAGUUUUCAAAGUGACAACUACUCACUAAUUUAUUAAGAAAUUCCCUUGUUUGAAAAUAUAAGGACACAGAUCGUGUUAAAUAGCCAACUGGAGAUGAUGUCUCCUGCGGUUAAAUUACAGCAACAUUUGUCUUAAAUUAGGAUUGCCAUGUUAUGUUGGCAAACAAUCUUUACUACAAAGUACUGUUGCUGAAUAUCUCAUGUUGUGAGAUUUAAAAAUAGUAGUUUUCUAACAUGAGAGGAAUUGAUUUAUAGUUACAUGUGCACGCACACACACACACACAGCUUCCACACAGUUUGUAUGAAUGUCACUCACAAGGUAUUGGGCAGUCUCGAGUUUAUAGCAGAAAAGACUUAACCAAGGUGGCCCUCGGGUGCAUUAGAAGCAAAGCUGCAAAAGGAAUUUCUUAACCACCUAGCUUUACCUGCACCUGAGAUGUUCUUGUAAAAUUCUAAGUUUAACUGUUUGUUUCAAUGUGUAUUUGAACUUUUGCUUACUUUUGUGGUCAUAGUGGUUGUGAGGUCAGGGUGGGUAGGUGGAAAAUGUUCCAUCAUGGGAAAAAAAUGUACUCCUUAAUUUAGAAAACUAUUUUUAGCUAACCUCUUUAGCAUUCAGAUUACUCUAAUAUGUUUUUUUAUUCACAUUGUUUUGAAUUAAUCAUUCAUUAUCUUGUAGAUUUUGAGAUUUAGAUGAUGUGAUUGUUUAUUUUCAGAAUGACAUUGUGGGUUGGGUGUGAGAAGUCAGAUAUGGCCAGUAUGAAUAUGAAACAGACCAAAUAGGGGACAGACACAAGGAUGCACACACAUAUACGUCGUCAUUAUCAUUGUUUAAUGUCCGGUUUCCAUGCUGUUAUGGGUUGGACAGUUUGCCCGGAGCUGGCUAGCAGGGAGCUAUCCACACUCCAAGUGUCUGUCGUGGCUUGGUUUCUAUGGCUAAAUGUUCUUCCUAAUGCCAACCACCUAAUAGAGUAUGUUAGGUGCUUCUUUUGUGUCAUUGGCAUGGGUGUGUUUAUGCAGCACCAGCAUGGCUGCUUUUUGAGUGGUACCAGCACCUGAAAAGACCAGCCUGUAUGUACGGAAGACAGCGAUUUUACUUGGCUUGAUACAGUAUAUCAAGUACAGCAAAUCACCAUCUCCUGGUCCCUUGUCACUUCCAUGGUGAAGCCCAGUGCCUGAAGAUCCUUUCUCACCACUUUGUCCCACAUACACAGGCAUCAUGCAAUCUGCCUUUCACUUUGAGGGAUAGGCCCUUAGUUACCAACAAAGAAAGAAGUUCUCUGAACUUUGCCCAGCCCGUUCUUAUUCUAGCAACUACACUUUCAGAACUUCUGCGAUGGGCUUUCAGUUUCCAUCUACCAAAUCCUCUCACAAGGGUUUGGUCAGUAGAAGACAUUUCCCCAAGGUGUCAUACAGUGGGGCUGAAUCUAGAACUAGGUAGUCAGGAAGCCAGCUUCUUACAACACAACCACACCUGUGCCUAAAAUCAGAGUAGAUUUAUUGUUAGAUAUUGGAGAAAAUUCUGGUAAAUUUUAAAACUAGAUUUCUUGGUUUAAUCUAUCCAGUUUGGUGGAUUACAUUUCUGAGUUCAAAUCAAUGCUAGCUCACUUUCACAUUUUGCAUAUCUGAUUGGCAGUGGAUUCAUAAAAUAAGCACCAGUCUAUGCAGUUAACUCUGCACAUGUCAUGUAGUUUGUCUGUUGAUGCGACAAAGACCAUCUAGUCAUCCUGGAGUGGGCUUGUUUUGUGAGUCUGCAGAUGGCUAGUGAGGCCAAUCUGUGCCUGAAAGAGUCUUUGACAGUAUGGACAGGGAAUGGUAGUGCCUGCUACAGGGUUGUUAGCUCUGUUCUUCCUGGCUUGUCUGCAGUCCUCUGCCUAAAUAGGACUGCUCAGUCGCCCAGACGGCUGCCAAAAUCUACUGCUGCUCCAGGUCAGUGAAUAGCGACCCUGUGGCCUGAGCCACCUGUGUGCAGGUUUGCGGCUAUGAUUUCCAGUGUACCCACACCUGUCACUUCGUUAUGUGCCUGUCACCACAGGACUUUGGGAUGAAGGGGUGGAAAGAAGGAUGAAAGAUGACUUGCACGAGGAAACUUUGUUUAAAGUGAGGAAGGGUUGCACAUCCCUGACCUCACUUUCUUGUCCGAGACCGUCUUAACCAGUGGCAAGACCAGAUUGAGACGACUGGGGACAGAACUGGAUGCAGUGAAUGACCAAGAUGUCCUAUAGUGCCUCAUCUUGCCCUAUGCACUCCACAGUGCCCUGCUGUAACUGCCCUCUUCUCCGUUGAAACCGUUCUGGUGGUUUCUUCUGCAGAAUAAGUUGGCUCCAGUCUUCAUAUGUGUAGGUAGGCAAGCCCUAACUCGCCGAAGGUUUAAGACCAGUUGGCUACCCUCACUUGGUUUUGCUGGCUAGUCGAAGCCGUUGCUUAGGAUGUGGCUGUUGUUGCAUACGAAUAGCUACUAGGAGCCACAAGUGAGAGCUGAGUGCAGGUGGGGUCCAAGGCAGAUCAACUAUUCCUAGGAGGAGCAUGACUGUUGCCCCAUCAGAUGUACUAAUCCUCCCGUACACUCCAUACACCCCUCUACACAUAUACUCAUGCACAGAGGCAUGUGCAUAUGUAUGUAUAUCGUACAUGUCAUGCGAUAUCUAAUUUUUGGAAGGAGAAAUCAUUAAGGCGCACAUUUUCAUCAGGAAAUCUUCUGCAUGUCACAGCUGUCAUGGAUCUGUUUACAACUUUUGAGCUUAUCCUCUUCUUUCUUCAUUUUACAGGAUUUUAAGCUGUGUGAAUCAUAUUUGUUUGAAGAGUUGUUUUACAAGUUUUCCUGUUUAAUAUCCAUAUUUUUUUUUCAAAUAAUUGAAUAGGUUGGUAGGGUUAGUAAAUAGUUUCUCACUGUCCACCUCUCUCCACAUAUUCACAAAAUUGUCAUUGGUGAGCUAACAAAGGAACCUUCUAGAAAGAGCUCCCAUAUUUCAUUCAAACUAUACAUUAACACCAAAAAAACAACAAAAAAAAAACAUUGGCUUAUAUAAUUUUAGAAAUGGAUUAGUUACAGCUGGAGUGACUUUGAUUCGAGCUGGCAGAAACGUUAGCACGCCGGGCGAAAUGCGUAGCCGUAUUUCAUCUGCUGUUACGUUCUGAGUUCAAAUUCCGCUGAGGUCGACUUUGCCUUUCAUCCUUUUGGGGUCGAUUAAAUAAGUACCAGUUAUGCACUGAGGUCGAUAUAAUCGACUUAUCCGUUUGUCUGUCCUUGUUUGUCCUCUCUGUGUUUAUCCCCUUGUGGGUAGUAAAGAAAUAGAUUAUAGGUCAUCUGCUCAUUCUAAGCUCACCUGGGACUACAAAUCAUCAUCACUGUUGGUGUUUAGUGAAGAUAUAGAAAUGACUUCGGUAUAUAUUAGUUUCUUUUCAAAUACAAAGCAGAAAACUUUAUUGAUACAAUAUAUAAUCAUAGGCAUAAGAUUGUAGAAGCUCAUUGCAUCUAUGCACUUUUACUCUUGUGUGUGUGUGUGUGUAAAUAUAUAUAUAUAUAUAUAUAUAUAUAUAUAUAUAGAUAUAGUGGAAGUCAGAAAAACAGAACAUGUUCAGAUAAGCAACUCUUGUUUCCAACCUGACACAGAUUUAAAUCUCAUUUUACAGUGCAAAUUAGAAUAAAAACUGCUGAAGACUAAUUAUAUCAAAAAGCUUAAUUUUUAUUUACAUUUUUAUUUAGUUUCUUUAAUUAUAUGCAGCAUUGAGAAAUAAUUUCUUGAAUUUCACUGAUUUGAUCCCUUCCAGCUGCAGUGCCUAGGUUUUGAUUCUGUAUACAUCCAAGGUCCCAAUCUUGCUAAUUAUGUAUUUUGGAAUAUCAAAGUUUUUGCAACAUUUACCUUAUCUUUUCAGCCCAUAUUUUAUAGACAUUAUUGAUCUAAGCAUAGGAAGAUGUAUUUUGUUUUUCAAUUUUGAUUUGAUUACAUCCAUACUACUGAAAACCGUUCAACUUCUGCAGUUGAGUUUGGCAAUGUCAACAGAUUAAUGGCAAAAUUUGCAACAUCUCUAAAAGGAUUUCCUCCAGUAGCAUCUUUAUAUUCCAAGACUUCUAGCCAGAAUGCCUCAGUAUCAGAUGUAUUUGUCCAUUUAACUAAAUGAAUGUUAUGAAACUGAAUUUCAAUUGAAGCAAUUUUUUCCUUAUUUAAAUGCAUUGCUUUUAAGACAGGUAAAAUUGGCUCUUUGAAAUGCUGCAAAAUAUUCUCUACUGAAAAACAUUUGAUGUUCUUCAGUAUAUUAAUAUUUUCUGGCAAACGGUGCUUGAGCUCUUUAAUAAAAGCAGAGUAAAAAUUGUACUCUUUUGCGAAUAUUAUUUUCUUUGGUGGCUGUUACAAUCUUUUUCAUAAUCAUUUUUAAUAUGUUUCUCUCGAACCUGUGGCCUAAAUUUGGUUUAGAAUCCAGAAAUUUUUCAAUAGAAUCAUCCAGAUCAAGAGGAUCAAUUCUACAUAUUGGCAACACUAUCAUAUUAGCAACAAAUUUGAUUAAAUUUGAAAGAUCUUCAAGUAAUUUUGUUUUGCUGACAGUGUUUGAUUCGAACAGUUUAUUCACUUUCUGAACUUGUUUUAAAAUAGGAUGCAAAAAUAAAAGGUAAAGUUCAUUCCUAGAAUCACAAAACAUUUCAUGUAACGUAAAGCCUUUUUCUUUGUAGUUGUAGUUUGGAAGUGAGUUUGGAUUCAAACCAUUGGCUUAAAAUUCUAUUUACAGCUGGUUCUGUUGAGGGCCACCUAGUUGUACAAGAAUUCACAAUCUUCAAAGGCUCUUUUACCAUUGAUAGCAAGGUAAAGUUGUUUGUAGGUACUUUGUCUUGUUGAAGAAUGAGAGGACCAUUUAUAGGUUUUGGAUACUAAAUAUUCUAAAUUUAUGGGCAAGCAUUCAGCACAAGUGUGGGAUACUGCCAACUGUAAAGAAUGACACACCCUUCUAAAUAGAAAUAAUGAUAGAACUUCUUUUAAUUUCUGGAAAACACCAUUGUUGAUUCCUAUCAUUACUCUACUAUUGUCAGUUCCUAUACCCAGUAAAUGUUUUAUAUCUAAUUUUUAUAUCUAACUAGCAGUAUCACCCGCUGUUGCUUUAGAAUUGGAAUUUUUGAAAAGUAAAAAUUUUGCAUUAUGUAGCUUGUUAUUCUCUUUAAGUGAACAUUUUUCUGGUUGAAAUACACCGAAAAAUGGCGAGUCAAAAAAUCGUAAAAAAAUAGGGAUUUUCAUAGAAAAAAAGCACCUUUUUGAUGUAAAUAAUUUUUGGUGUUAACAUGGUCCGAUUUGAAUUUUUUCUUCUAGGGAAGGAAGAGCAAGCCUUCUAUCAUACUCUCAAUUUUGGUCAACUUGCGCUGCAGGGUCUCGGAGAAGAUAGUGUUAGUUGAAGGCUACCAAACCUGCCAUACACAGUCAACUUCAGCUUUAUAUAUAUAGAUAAUUGGUAUGUGUUCACAAAGUCCAAACGAUUAAUACGAAAAAACCCUCCAGGCUACAUCCUGAAAAUUCAUUUCUUUGCCGAAUUUCUACAAUGUUUACGAUGAUUCGUUUUUAUAUCUUGAUUUUUUAUUUUUCAUGCAAUCAUAUUAUGAUAAAUAGCUUCACAUAGUUCGUUUUCAUUAACUGGUAGACAUAAAUGUAUGACGCUAUGUCAUUGUAACGGUGAACGUGAACAGACGCAAGCUCAUUGGCAUUUGUGUGUUUGUGUGGCCUCAGUAGAUGAAAAGAAACGGUAGCAGUGUCUUGUAUGCUUUGGGUAAUACUGGCUUCAAAGAGUUGUUUCUUGUAUAGUGUCGUGAAAAACUUUUAUAUUGUCCGUCUAUGGUUCUUUGAUAUAAAGCUACCCUACCCCUAGUAUUAUAGUACAAAAUUACCAAUUUUAAUUUGGUUCUUAUUUAAAUUAAUACCCUUCAUCAUAAUUUUAUCUCAUGACUUUUUGUUAUGUAACAUUCCAAGCAGCAGAUUAAUAAUGAAAAUAUUAGUUAUUUUACUGUUUUACCAGAUUCUUACCUAAGAAUAAUUGAAACACAGAGACAACAAAUUUUAUAAGAACUAUAACCAUCUGUUAGCUUUAGUAGAAAGCACAAUUUUGUUUUGUUGUAAAAAGGAAGUGGAUGAAUUUUAUGUUGGGAAAAUAUACAGUAAUAUUAUCCCUUAUAUGUAUACACACACAAAUUAGCAAUUUAAGGGAUUCUAAUGCAGAGCUUUAGAAAACAGUCAGAAUUUGUGGAGUAUAAAGUAUCUGUUUUGUACAUUCUAUGGAGAGCAUUAAAAUUACUUGUGUGUAAAAUAUUGUAUUUUCUUAAAAUAUUUUGUCUCUUUAAAACAAAUGUAUUUGACAAGAAAGUUGAUUGGUUGCUAGGAAGAUGAUUGAAAUAGUUUUAGAAAGGCUUCAGAAGAUACAAUAUUUUGGUGUGAUCUCUCUUUUGCUUUGAGCCUUUAUAACAAUCAAAUCUUUUUCAUAGUUUCUUCUUAUCUAUAUGCUUCUAACAGCACCAAUUUCUACUUAGUUUGAUUUUUUAAAUAAUCCUGUAUCUGACAUUUUUCAGUGAAGGUUGAGCUAUAUAUCAGGGUUGUGUGUGGGUGUUGAAAGUGAAACAGUUGUAUCCUGGAAGAGUUAUGACUUCCAUAUAAAGUCUAUGUGUGUGUGUGUGUGUGUGUGUGAGUACAUGCUUGCACACACAUAUUCAUUCAGUUUGUUAUAUUUUGUGAUAGUAUUUAUACUUUAAAGUAUCAAAAAAUUAGUCACUGACACAAUUCCAUUGCAUGAAGGAUAAUACAUUUCUUGUCAGGAAGAGUGAACAUAUAAAUGAUGAUGAUGAUGAUGAUUAUAUAUAUAUAUAUAUAUAUAUAUAUAUAUAUAUAUAUAUAUAUAUAUAUAAUGUGUGUGUAUAAUUAGACACACACACACUGGAAAAUAUAACUAUAAUGAAUAUUGUGGUAUUCAUCUAUUUUAAAAGGUUAUCUUGGUUUUACUGUGAUGCAGUGGUUGCUAGAUGAAUUUUAUAUACUAAGACAGUACUUCUACACAUAAGAAAAUAAAAUCUAACAUAUGUUGCACAGCAGUGAAACAUGGGCUGUGACUGCGGAGGACAUGCGUAGGCUCGAAAGAAAUGAAGCUAGCAUGAUCCGCUGGAUGUGCAAUGUCAACGUCUAUGCACGACAGAGUGUAAGUGCCCUGAGAGAAAUGUUGGACUUUUCGGAUGCAGCGUGCAGGAGAGACGUUUGUGUUGGUAUGGUCAUACACUCUGGAUGGAUGAGGAGAGAUUUGUGAAGAAGUGCCACUCCCAAACUGUUGAAGGAAUCCGGGGUAGAGGUAGACCCAGGAAGACAUGGGACGAGGUGGUCAAGCAUGACCUUCGUACGUUGAAACUCACAGAGGCUAUGAUGAAAGACCGAUACCUCUGGAGAUAUGCUGUGACUGCAUAUCUCCAGUCACAGCAUACCUCCAUGCUGUUGUGAUACCCAUGCUGGUGGGGCCUUAAAGAAGAAAUAACGAAGACUGAGACCUCUGAGAUAUGCUGUGACUGCGAAGACCCGACAAAUGAAAUGAGUUCAUGGCACGCAGGACAGCCUGCUUUGCUAACCUUGGAUCGUAAAGUGACCUGCUGUUCUUGAGGAGACCUAUUGAGUCAAGUAUGCCAACAUCAAAAUAAAAAUCAAAUGGAAAUUGUAGUUAAGAUACCCGUGCUAGUGACACAUAAAAAGCACCGUCCAAAUGUGGAAGAUGCCAGCACCGCCUGACUGGUGUUCGUGCCAGUGACACAUAAAAGCACCAACCGAUUGUGGCCAUUUGCCAGCCGCCCCUGGCCCCUGUGCUGGUGACAUGUGAAAAGCACCCACUACACUCACGGAGUGGUUGGCAUUGUGAAGGGUAUCCAGCUGUAGAAACACUACCAGAUCAGACUGGAGCCUGGUGCAGCCUCCUGGCUUCCCAGACCCUGGUCGAACCAUCCAACCCAUGCUAGCAUGGAAAACGGACAUUAAACGAUGAUGAUGAUGCUGAUGUUGCACUGGUCAGCAUCAUUUUAUGUGUGUGUCUGUGUGUGUGUAUAUAUAUGUGUGCACGCACGUGUGUCUGAGUAUAUAUAUGUAUAUAUUAUACAUAUGUGUGUGUUUGUAUAUAUAUAGUUAUAUGUAUAUAUAUAUAUGUGUGUGUGUGUGUGUGUGUGUGUGUAUAUAGUUAUAUGUAUAUACAGUAAUCCCUCAACUAUUGUGGGUGUUAUGUUCCAAAACCACCCACAAAAGGUGAAAAUCCAAGAAGUAGAAACAGUACUGUACAUUUAUUUUUAGUUUUUAUUAUUUGUAUACAUUUAUUUCAUUAUAAAUGCAAAACAACACGAUGAAGGAAUUGACAUCAGCUUAAAUGAUAAACCGAGAUAGGUGAACCACGAUAUGACAAGGGAUUACUGUAUAUAUGUGUGUGUGUAUAUAUAUUUUUUUACUUGUUUCAGCCAUUUGACUGUGGCCAUGUUGGAGCACCACCUAUAGUUGAACAAAUUAACCCCACAACUUAUUCUUUGUAUGCCUAAUUGUUAGCCUAUUGGUCUCUUUUGUUAAACUGCUAAGUUACGGGGACAUAAACAUACCAAUAUCAGUUGUCAAACAAUGGUGGGAGGACAAACACAGACACACAAAUACAUUUAUAUAUAUAUAUAUAUAUAUAUAUAUAUAUAUAUAUAUAUAUAUAUCUGUAAAUUAAUAUGUUACCAUUAUACAAUACUCAAGAUAAAACUCUGAGUUUCAGAUGCUGAAGUGGAAAUCCACAACACCAUCUCUUCCGUUAUCUCGCCGAAGAGAUGGUGUUGUGGAUUUCCACUUCGGCAUCUGAAACUCAGAGUUUUAUCUUGAGUAUUGUAUAAUGGUAACAUAUUAAUUUACAGAUAAAUUUCCUCUAUUUACAUAAUAUUGAGGUCUCUUUCUUUCUUUUGUUAUCUAUAUAUAUAUAUAUACAUUUUAUAUAUAUAUAUAUAUAUAUAUAUAUAUAUCAUCAUCAUCAUUUAACGUCCAUUUUCCAUGCUGUCAUGGGUUGGAUGGUUUGACUGAGGACUGGCGAGCCAGAAGGCUGCACCAGGCUCCAAUCUGAUCUGUUCGAAGUUUCUGCAGGUGGAUGCCCUUCCUAAUGAUCUGUUAUACACAUAUAUAUACAUAUGUAUAUACAUAUGUGCAGGCUGCCGUUUUGCACACCGAAGACCCUGCCACAUAAACAUGAAAUAGGAUAGAAACCAACUACCAAAAGGAAAAGGAAUGGACCACGCACCAACUGCCUCAAAACAGAUGUACGCAGAUGUGGUGCGUGCUACAAACCGCCAACAUGUUAUUGAAAGUGCAGCUGCUUAACAAGAAUCUUUUUUGUGCAUGGCACAAAAGAUUGUACAGCAGCUAACCUGGCUUCAUCAAACUUAAUCUCGCAGAUGGGACUAUCCACAAUACACAAGACCGCCACAGUAAACAGACCCAUGGUGGACACCGCCGGCAACAGCAUACACAUCACCUCGAUGCUCCUACUGAACAUCAGAGGACUGCUAACACUCAGUAACAGGACAAAAAUCCCGUUCUUGAGAGACUUUGUUGCAUGCAAUCAAGCCUUAUGCAUAGCACUUACGGAAACACACCUGAAACCGGACAUAGUAGAUGCGGAAAUACACAUACCACAGUAUGUUGUACUACGAACUGACAGAAAAGAAAAGAGUCAUGGAGGUGUUGCUAUGUACAUCUGCGAGGGCCUCACACCCCAGGUCCUUUUGUCAUACUCAAAUUCGGUGUGUGACACACUAAUUGUACAUAUAAGUCAACUUGGUGUAGUUAUAUGUGCUACAUAUCGCCCUCCAGAUGCCCCAAGCCAUGUAGGCAAGUUCGAAGACUGCCUUAUAAAAAUAGAAGUUCUAGUCACAUUGGAACAACACAUAAGUGUACUUCUUAUGGUAGACUUCAAUCUACCCAAUGUCAGAAGGCCCGAGGGCCUUUCUCUCCCAGGAAUGACACGAUGUGAACGAGGACAGGUGAGGUCCCUCCUGAACCUCAUCAACACUCUGUACAUGGAACAAGUAAUACUCCAACCAACCAGGGCAGGUAACAUACUGGAUCUCUGCUUCACAAAUAAUAUGGAUCUCAUUCAUAAUGUGAAAGUGACACCGACACUACUCUCGGAUCACAACAUGGUAGAGCUGACCAUGUACGGGCCAAAGGAAAGCAUGGACAUGCAGCCUACAAGAAACUCUGAGAAUCUUUCCAGCUUGAACUUCCAUAAGGCAAACUGGAAACAAAUUGAGAAAGAGAUCCUCAAACAAAACUGGCCUGAAUGUCUCUCCUCGCCAGACAUCGACAUGAAACUUCAACAAUUCAUGUCUGUAAUGCAAGCCAUAUGCUACAAAUGUGUCCCAGAGAGAAAGGCCACUGUACACAAGAACAAAAUCCCCAGAGAGAGGAAAAUUCUAAUGAGACGGCAUACAAAAGUUUCAAAUGCAACUGACGUCUUUACCACUGCAGAUAUAAAAUCAGAGGCAGCGAUGAUUGAUUACAUCAAUAUAAAGGAAGACGAUGUAAUAAAGGCUAUAGAUGAAAUGAACACAAACUCAGCUACUGGCCCCGAUGAAUUCCCAGCAAUCCUUCUAAAAGUAUGUAAGAGAGUCCUAGCAAGACCACUGCAGUUCCUCUUUCAGAGCUUCCUUGCAACUGGUAAACUCCCAAGAAAACUGAAGGAAGGUAAAAUAUGCCCUAUUCAUAAAGGAGGUAGCAGAGCGGAGGCCAAGAACUACAGACCUAUCUCUGACCUCACACAUCAGCAAGGUCAUGGAACGAAUAGUCAGAAGGAAACUAAUCACCUUCCUUGAAGAAAAUGACUUGCUGCCUGACACCCAACAUGGUUUCCGACCAGGAAGAAGCUGCUUAACUCAGCUCCUACAACACUAUGACUGGGUGCUGAAACGACUGCUCAACCACACAAAUGUGGAAGUGAUAUAUCUCGACUUUGCAAAGGCCUUUGAUAAAGUCGAUCAUGGAAUGAUAUGUCACAAACUGCGUGAUCUUGGCGUAGUUGGAAAAUUGGGAGAAUGGCUUCAUGACUUUCUGAAGGAUAGAAGUCAGGUGGUAGUAGCCAAUGAGGCCACCUCCAAUAACGCACAAAUAGUGAGCGGUGUUCCGCAAGGCACUGUUUUGGGACCACUACUGUUCAUAAUGGCCCUUUCAGACAUGCCCUCAGCCACGCAGAGAGCCACGAUCACAAGUUAUGCAGAUGAUACAAAAGUUUCACAGGCAAUACAGAACCCUGAAGACACUAAGCACCUGCAAUGUGAGCUGGACAAAAUAUACAAGUGGGCUGAAAAGAAUAGCAUGCAGUUCAAUGCUGAAAAGUUUCAAGCUUUAUGCUAUCAGCAUGCAAAACUGAAUGCAAUACCCAAUGAAUACACUGGACCCGGAGGGAUUGCAAUCCCAGAGGCACAAUCAGUGCAUGACCUGGGUAUUCACAUAAGUGAUGACGCGACCUUUCAUGUACAUGUUGCUAAAUUGGCAAUGAAAUGUAGACAGCUGGCCGGAUGGAUUCUUAGAACCUUUAGAACAAGAGAACAAGAAACCAUGAUGGUCCUCUGGAAGACACUUGUCCUAAGCCACUUUGACUAUUGCUCUCAGCUAUGGUCACCAUCCAGUGUCAAGUUGAUCACAGAACUUGAGGCGAUCCAACGAAGCUACAUGAAGAAGAUAGCCACUGUGCAGCAUAUAAGCUACUGGGAAAGACUCAAGAGAUUAAAACUCUAUUCCUUGGAGCGUAGGCGAGAAAGAUAUGCCAUAAUAUAUAUCUGGAAGGACUUGUCCCAAACUUUGGCAUCGAGAGUCCCACAAAUGCCAGAACCGGGCACCACUGCGUGGUACCAAGGACUCCAAAUUUGCCAUCAAGAUGUAGGACAAGAUACUGUGAUAGCCUGGACUUCAGAGGCCCACAGCUCUUCAAUAUCCUCCCGAAGAACCUGAGGGACCUGCAUGGUGUAGAUGCGGAUGUCUUUAAAGUAGGACAGGAUCUCUUCCUGUCAGGUGUCCCGGAUGAACCAACUUCAUGGCAGGAGGUGCAGAUGAGGGCAGCUGCAUCGAACUCUCUCAUGCACCAAAUGGCAGUUGCUAAAAAGCAUUCGUGAGGUAAAAUCAUGUAGCAAACCAAAUGGCGGUGCCCCAGCAUGGCCACAGCUCAUGAACUGAAACUGGAAAAAUCAAAAUCAUAUAUAUAUAUGUAUAUAUAUAUAUAUGUAUAUAUCAAAGUAAAUAUAUGGCACAACGAAGUACCGAUAUUUACUGGAAAUAGCGAACGUAAUAAUACGACGCUAAUGUAUAGCUUCACCGCGUAUGUACCAGCAAAAAUGCGUGAGUGCAACAAACUUGAAAAAAAUUUGUCUUACCUUCAGGGAGAACAUCUGAAAGAUGAAAUACCUAGAAAAGGAUAAUGUGGGACCGGAGCCGGUUUCAGAUUUUUCAAGAUAUGCCUCCACACAUAUACUUGAUCUAUCUUUAUCAGCCAAAUUUUUUUAAAGUUUGUUGCACACACGCAUUUUUGCUAGUACAUACGCGGUGAAGCUAUACAUUAGCGUUGUGUUAUUACUUUCGCUAUUUCCAGUAAAUAUCGGUACUUCGUUGUGCCAUAUAUUUACUUCUAUGUAUAAUUUUCCCUCACGGGCUAUUCUUUACUGGAAAGCAAUACUUUCAUAUUGCAUUACUAAUUAUAUAUAUAUAUGUAUAUAUAUAUAUAUGUAUAUAUAUAUGUAUAAGAAAAUGUGUGUAUAUAUAUAUAUGUGUGUGUGUGUGUGUGUGUGUGUGUAUAUAUGUGUGUGUGUGUGUGUAUGUGUGUGUAUAUGUGUGUGUGUGUGUAUGUGUGUGUAUAUAUAUGUGUGUGUGUGUGUAGAUAUAUAUAUAUGUGUGUGUGUGUGUGUGUGUGUGUAGAUAUAUACAUGUAUAUAUCAAUAUAUAUAUAUGUAUAUCUAUGUAUAUAUGUAAUAUAUGUGGAUAUAUAUGUACUAUAUAUAUAUAUAUAUAUAUGUAUAUAUCAAUAUAUAUAUAUGUAUAUCUAUGUAUAUAUGUAAUAUAUGUGGAUAUAUAUGUACUAUAUAUAUAUAUAUAUAUAUGUAUAUAUCAAUAUAUAUAUAUGUAUAUCUAUGUAUAUAUGUAAUAUAUGUGGAUAUAUAUGUACUAUAUAUAUAUAUAUAUAUAUAUAUAUAUAUAUAUAUAUAAUAAAUUCAGGGUGAAUACUUGAUAAAUGUAAGCACCUGUAUAUGCCAGCUAGUUGCAUAGGUGAUAGGAUAUAUGUAUCAAAUGAAAUAAAUGAAAAACAGGACGCAAAGGAUGUUGCAGUACAUAUGUUUCGGGCUUUAUAGAACAACUUAUUCUUACAUCAAUGCAUAUAUAUAUAUAUAUAUAUGUAUGUGUAUAUAUAUCUAUAUAUAUAUAUGUAUGUAUAUACAAGUGUCCAAGGAUGUGAACUAAUGUGUUAGUGGGCUUGGUGCAUUAAACAUUCACUGAGCAACCAUAUUGCUUUAACAUUUUAGGUUAGUAACACUUGUUAGUUAUAUCAUGUUAAGAAAGUGAAAACAAAAUUAUAGAAUAUAAAUGAAAAAGCAUGUAUAUAUUUCUAAUGAACUAAUUUUUCUAGUACUUACAUGCUAAAGAAAGAAAGUCUUGUUUAUUGACUGUGAUAACAGCAUUGGUUUUUGUCUAAAAGAAUCCUCGUCAAAUUAUUUGACCUUGUAAGUAACCUCAUGACGUAAAAAUAUUCCUUUCAUCUGAAAGGCAUUUAAAGAUUACACAAUAUAAAAAUGUUUGGUUUUGACUAUACUUCAUCUUCUAUUCUCUUCAUCCAUCACUAAGACAAACUAAUUAUUUAAGAAUUUAGCAUAAACUGGGUUAAAUAGAAUUUACUUAUUUUUUCUGAAGUAGGUCUUUAACAUUGUAGCUUAUUUAAUUUAUUCGAGCGUUGCAUGGGUUUGCUGCAUUUGUCUUAGUUACACUUGUUUCUUCCUACUGUUGAGAAAAAUUACUCUCAAAUAUUUUGCUCUUGUGAUCAAUCUCCUAUCCUCAUAAAUUCAUCUAUAAACAAUCCAAAUUAUUUUAUUAAAAAUAGUCAGAAAAAUAGGUUGCAUAAAACUAGUUUUUCAAUUUUUUUUUUCAUCAUGUUUAAGAUCAUGCUGGAACACCAGUUUAAAGGAAAUAAAAGCAUACGAAAUGUAAGCAGUAUUAUUAGAUUAUUCUUAUAGUUCAAAAUUCCAGUUGAUAACACUAUUCACAACAUCUUUUCAUUUCUCAACAAUCCUAAUUACCUAUGCUCACCAGUGUACAAAGCUUGUGUGCCAAAUACAGUGGGGAUUAUGCUUCAUUGAUGAGGUCAGAAUAAUACUAAAAUAUUUCCAGAGUUGUAUUUCAUAUUAGUCUUUUUUUUCACUGCACAUGCACGCACGCACGCACACACACACACACACACACAUACAGAGUUAACUGCUUGGUGUGUUGAGCAUGUUAGCUUUCAACUCUUUAAAUUUAUACUUAAUCUAACUCCAUUCACAAGAUUUGCAUCAGCCUAAAAUUGUGAUAACCACUUGCCCAUGAUGCCAUGCGGCAGGAUCAAAUGGGGGAACCCUGUGUUUGCAGAGUGAAUUUUUUAACCACAGUCACACCUGUGUUCAUGAACAUUUAACCUUUUAGCGUUCAGAUUAUUCUGGCCAAUGUAAUGCUUAUUUAUUUGCAUUGUUUUGAACUACCCAUGCAUUAUCUCAUAGCUUUUAAAUUUCAAUGAUGUGAUUAUUUAUUUUUAGAAUGACAUUAUAGGGUAGGUGUGAGAGGCUAGUCCCAACAUAAAAUCAAUGGUUUAACCCUUUAGCAUUCAGAUUAUUCUGUCAAAUAUAAAGCUUAUGUAUUCACACCAUGUAAAAUUAAUCUUGCAUCAUUUCAUGGCUUUGAGAUUUCAUUGAUGUGAUUGUUUAUUUUUAAAAUGACACAAUAAGGUAGCUAUGAAUGACCAUAUCUGACUAUUCUGAACAUAAAAUAGGUAGAAUAUUUUUGCCGGUUAUGGCCGGUUUAAACACUAAAGGGUUAAGUGCUUAAGGGUAAAGAUUUCCUCUAAUCAUUGAGAAACAGAUUUCAUUGUUUUCUAGUGUCACUGAGCACUUCCUUUCAACAUGGGCAUAGUUUUCUUUGGAACAUCACUGUCACUCACAAAAUACUGUAGCUUGCUUGGUACUAGCUUAUGGGGAAUGAUUGAGGGGGCUUAGGCAAAGGAUGACAAGUAGUGCUGAUGACUUUUUAACCCUUUUGUUACUGUAUUUAUUUUGAGAUGCUCUGUGUUCUUUCAAUUACUUCAAUUAUAAUAAAGAAUUUAGUAAAAUAACUUACUUAUCAUUCAACUAGUGUUAGAAACAUAAAUUGUGACAAAGGUUUGGUGGAAGAUUUUAAUUCAAAACUUAUGAAAACAAGAUAUUUGUACUCAAAGCCAGAGCCGGUUUCAGCUGGGUUGGUAAUGAAAGGGUUAAGGGCAUGUGAGACUGGUAGAAAGAGGGAGUAAUUUAUUACUCCCUCCAAGGCCAACCAAAGCCUUGUGAGUGAAUUUGGAUGAUAGAAACUUUAAGAAGCCUGUCGUGUGUGUGUGUGUGUGUGUACCUUUGUCUUGACAUCACAUGAUGACUGUAAAUGUUUACUUUCAGUCUUUCAGGAAAAUACAUCCAGCUAUGGGAAAUAUUAGCUUGCUUGGAAACAGGUGAGGGUUGGCAACAUGAAGGGUAUCUGUUUGUAGAAAAUCUACCUCAACAAGUUCCAUCUGACCCAUGCAAGCAUGGAAAAGUUGUUGUUAAACUGAUCCAGGUCUGCAUGUUUACAACAGAGUAGAUUCUAUGGAUGACACCAAAGAACAGGAAUGAUCGUAUUGGCAGGUUUUCAUAAAAUUUCUGUCUGUCAAAUUUCACUCACAAAGCAUUGGUUGACUUGAGGCAAUGGCUAAAAGUCAUUUGCUCAAUGUUGCAUGCUGAAGUUAGAGCUGAAACUGUCUUAAAUAUACUGCCAUAUCUGCAUUUGCUAUGAUAUUUCUUGCUUGUGAGAACAACAUGAAUGUUGUUGUUCUUGUUACACCAUUGUGUGGAUAACUGUUUUAUGUACAUGUGUGGAGUAUAUGUAGCUCACAUGAAGUGGUUUCUCAUUUAUUUAAAAAGUGAAGACUGGUUGUAAUUGUCAAUGCUAUGGAAAGAGAUUUUAAGAAAUACAAUAUAGAAGUUUUUACUAACUUUGAAACUAGUUAUCUACAGUAGGUUACAAACUUCCAUGUUGUGAACCGAUUGGGUGAGCAGAAAUUGGCCAUUAGAAAUUGGUGUGAUUCUGUGAGAAAUUUGGCUGUUAAGAGUCUUUAAAAAGCAAGGCCUACAUUAAGCAGUGUAGUCUUAGAUCUACCGUGGAAAUUAAAAAGGAAAUAAACAGAAUGGUCACAAUGGAAUGUCUUUUGAUCAUAGAUCUGCUCAGUGAAGGCUGAUCAGGGUAAUAUUAGUAAUAGAAUUACUACCAUCAACACCAUUACUUGUAUCAAUCUGGUACAGUUGACUGCCAUUCUGUCAUUUUCUAUAUCUUCUCCACUUUUAGUCCACUUAUAAAUAGUUACAGCUGAAUACCACAUCAAACUUCUCUUUAUGACACUACUAAAGUAUUUUUGUCAAGUGAUUUCCAAGAUUAAACCAUAUUUCUUUGAUUUUUAUUUUAUUUAAUUUUAUUUUAAAUACUUUUGCGUCAUAUGUGUCUUUUGCUUCUCAUUUUUUUAUCCCUUUGAAAUGGAGUUCUAUCAGUUUGCAAAUUUGGUCAAUUUGUUCAAAUCACUAAAUUGGAACCAGCACUUUUGGCUUAACUCAGAAAGUCUGAGGUAUUCAUUACUGAGGAGAUCAAAUCCAGUCAAAAUAUCAUAUCUGGCCAUUCACCAGGCAUUCUGAGUGAGGCCUGUAUUUUUUAAAUUUCUACACAAGUCCCUUUCAGAAGUUUCUCUGAGAUGAAAUAUUAUAUGCGCUAUCAUUCUACAUUUGUAUCUACACUGUUAUACGCACACCAAUCUUUCAAUUUUAUCUUUUAUUCUUUCAGAACUGAUAAAUUACCAGUCAAGUAAUGAGGUCAAUAUAAUUACACAUAACCUCUGAAUUUGAGACCUUGUGCUUGUAUUAUUAAUUACAAUAUAUGUAAAAUAUUUCUUCAGUGUAUGCGUGUGUAACUGUAGUGUUUUCUUCUUUCAGAGAAAAUCCAGAAAGAAUAUUUGAACUUUUUGUAGAAAUUGGCAAGCCAUCGGGUGACAAAGAAGGUGAGAGAUACUAAUCACUUAAAUAAUUGUUAAUAGCAAAUUUGCUCUCCUUCACAAUUUUCUCAAUGUUAUGCUACUCUUAUUAAUGAUUAGUUAAGCAUAACUACUUGGCCAGGUCUGGCAGUGUACCAACAGCUGAGAGUUUGGAAGUAAAUUAGGAUAGUAGAGAAAAUUUAAUAGGUGUGGUAACUAUUACUUGAGAAUGAGUAACUCACUGGAGUGGAGUAAGUUGUGAAGCUGCACAAGUUUUUGGGUGUAAACAUUUCUGUCAUUUUCUUUUUAUUUUUUUUACUGCCAAUGUGUGUGUGUCACGUCUGUCUAUGUGUGUAUAUGUAUGAUGUCAAUAAACACAUGUUCACAAAUAUUGAUUUAUGCAGAGCAGACUUUACAUGCCAAGCACUUAAGACUAAUACAAAUACAUACGGAUGUAUUUGCAUGCAUAUGUAUGUAUAUAUACAUGGAGGCGUAAUGGCUCAGUGGUUAGGGCAGCAGACUCGCGGUCAUAGGAUCGCGGUUUCGAUUCCCAGACCAGGCGUUGUGAGUGUUUAUUGAGCGAAAGCUCCACGAGGCUCCGGCAGGGGAUGGUGGUGAUCCCUGCUGUACUCUUUCACCACAACUUUCUCUCAAUCUUACUUCCUGUUUCUAUUGUACCUGUAUUUCAAAGGGCUGGCCUUGUCACUCUCUGUGUCACGCUGAAUAUCCCCGAGAACUACGUUAAGGGUACACGUGUCUGUGGAGUGCUCAGCCACUUACACGUUAAUUUCACGAGCAGGCUGUUCCGUUGAUUCGGAUCAACCGGAACCCUCAUCGUCGUAACCGACGGAGUGCUUCCCCAUAUAUAUAUAUAUAUAUAUAUAUAUAUAUAUAUAUUUAUAUUAGACAGACAGAGUGCAGUGAAUAAAUUGUCAUCUAAAUUAUACAAAAAUGAAAAUAUCGCUCACAUCUCAUUUUAACAGAUAUAUUUACUAAAUUUACACAAAAAUAUCUUGAAAUACUAAAGAGUAAAUUUAUUCAAUAAAAUCACCAUUGGCUUCAGCUAUGACCUUCGGACGACUUUGGAAUCUCUUGAAAUUCUUCUGGACAAUCUCUGUGUUUAAGUUGGUGAAUGCUGCCAUUAUCCUUGCCUUUAGUUCAUCUUUGGUGUUAUAAAGAGUUUUGUUGGUCUCUCACACAUAAUAAUAAAGAGGGUUGCAGUCUGGUGUGUUAGGUGGCCAGAUGUUAGGGGUGACAGACAUAACUGGAUUCUUCUGUUUGUGUGGCAUGGUGCAGUGUCCUGUUGCUAGACAUAGGGUCUUCCAGCACCCACCCUCUUGACCCAGGGCAGUGUGAUCCUGGCAGAAAUUUUUCUUGUCUGAGAAAAACCAAAGUAUGUUCGGUUGGAAGGGAUGCUUGAGUUUGUUCAAAAGCUUCAUAGUGUGGUCUUUCCUAUUGUUCUCGAUGGCUUGGGACAAAAAUUGGUCCUUUCUCAUCUUGUAUGAGGAAUGCUGAAUGUCUUCGUGCCCUACCUGCCUGAUAAGAAACUCAGGCACUCCUAUGUCUCUGGCAAUGGACCCGAUUGACUUGGAAGGAUCAUUGUCGCUCUAUUCACUACUCAUGCACUUUGGCAAUACCCUAUCAUUUAUAUCCUGACUCUGUAUCUUGAGGGCAUGCCCUUCCACUUUGCCACCACUUAUCUCCCCCUGGCUCUUCUCCACCAUCCCUUGUAUAUUCUGAUCCCCAUUCCUUGUGUGCAUACUUUGGUGCUUUGCCACUAUCUCUCUCUUGCUCUCUUUCACUCUUUCUCUUUCUCUUUUCUACUCUCUCACUUCCUCUUGCUCUAUCCCCCUGACUGCUUAACCAUGUAUUACCUCCUCUACAACGACACACCCAUUACUCACCUCACUCUUGAUCACUUCUUCUUUCUUGCUCUCUCUGACAGAGUAACCAUGUAUCUCCUCUAUAAGCAAGACACCCGUUUCUGUCUCUCUGUCACACUAACCUUUCAUUAUUCAAGAUCACCUCUUUCAAUGCUCCCUCCCCUUUCAAAGGAUCUUUAUCUUGCAAGUUACUUGGUGACCCUGCCAGUGCUGGUCCCACAUAAAAAGCAUCUAGUUCACACUGUAAAGUUGCUGGUAUUUGGAAGGGCAUCCAACUGUGAAAAACCUUGCCAAAACUGACUUCGCCUGUGCUGGUGCCAUGUAAAAAGCACUCAGCCCACUCUGCAACGGUUAGUGUUAGGAAGGGCAUCCAGCUGUAAAAACCCUGCAAAAAAAACAGACAGCGAAGCAUGGUGCAGUCUUCUGCCUAACCAGCUCUUGUCAUACUGUCCAACCUAUGCCAGCAUGGAAAGCAGACGUUAAGUGAUGAUGAUUAUGCAGUCUGUUGUCCAGUGUAUUCAUAGUGAUUGUGUCUAUCUUGCUCACUAUGUCUCUCUUCUUUCUCCUCUCCCCUCUCUCCCUUCCUCUCCUCUCCCUCCCUUCCUCUCCUCUCUCUCCUUUCCUCACACAAUCUAUGAUUCCAGAUAUCUUUGUAUUUCUAUUUACUUGACCAGAGAGAGAGAGAGAGCCCAAUAUAUUCUCAUUUAUUUCUUGUAUACCCUUCGUUCUGUACUCGUUAGAACAGACUGAUUGUUUUUUUGUUUUUUUUUUGAGAGCAGAAAGAGAAAUUACAUAAAAUGCUUUAACUGUACUAGCUUUUAAAGAAAGGAAUAAACCUUACAACAUAAGUGUCAAAUAACUAAAAUAACAUUUUCCCUUCCAAGCAUAGAAAAUAGUUGACUGUGUUAAUUAUAUUUAUUUAUGUAUUCAUACAUGUUAAUGGUGUAUUUUGAUAUUUCUAUUUCAGAACCAUUUAUUCUGCAACAUUACCCACCUAAUUACACCGAUGAAGUAA
rnacentral:lncRNA from 1 species